GGGCCAAUUUUAUUUUUUGUAACUGAAUUGACUUAAUCUUUGUGAUUGGAUCCUUAGCCUAGUGAGGAUAACAAGGCUCGAACAGGAGAAGUAUGUAACAGCAUGUGUGAGCAAGGUUCGCGGACUUAGUAUCCGAACCCAUGCCGGCUAGCCGGCAGUACGGGUUGGUAUGGAUCCAUAUUGGACCGGACUGGCGCAAACUGACAUAGAGGAAAAGAAGUGAACCGGGAGGAGGAAAAGAGAGAGAGGAGAGGGAAAGGGAAGGAGAGGGAGAGAGAGUGUGGCCAGAGGAGAUGCUGGCAGUGGCCACAGAUGGGCCAGCAAUGCACUCAGAGGCCCAUCAAGGCUCCGCUUCAUCCGUCGAUCCUUAGUCGAGAGAGAGAGAUAGAGAGGGGGGAGGGAAAGCCGCUAGAGAGGCCAUUGGAGGGCCUCUGGAUGGUGCAAUCGCAGGCUCCGACGCCGCGAGCAUGAAAUAAAGACUAUUUUUUAAAAAACCCCAAUUACAGUGAAGCCGGCAAUGGGUUUGUUGAUUUCACUGUUUGCCGGCUUCAGUAUUCAUCUUUCUUUUUAGAAAAAUCCGACGAGUGAACGAGGAUGGUCACUCCUGUUUUGCAGCCGCAGCUCCAUCCAUACGUUUUCCAUCGCCCGGUGGCCACGGCGACCACCCGACAACUUCCAAUGCCCCUGCACCAGUUACUCCUCCCUCCGAUAUGGUCGCUCUCCCUCUCUCUUCCUCUCUUUCUCACUGGAUUAAAUACACUAUCGGGCGACGUCAAGCCAUGGAGGCCUCUGCAGCCCUCCAACAGCCUCAACGGGCCACGGCCAACCUCCGAUGGCGUCAUGCCAUCUCUCCCUCCCCUCCUAUCUCUCUUCCUCUGUUUUCCUCUCCCUCUGGUGUACCAUUUUCCUCAGCCAAACCAUCCCGAUUUGCCGUCAAGAUGGCUCGAAACGCCCUGAACCAUUCGAUUCGGGAUGGUUCGGUGUUCCACAUGUGCGAGCGUCUGUCUAGUUCCCAAUCAAUUAUGCAAGAAGACCUUGGGUAUAUAUACAGAGCCAAGGAACCCAAAUAAUACCACCUUCUCACUAGCCUUUUUAGCUGAGGUCCUAGAUCAUUAUAAGAGGUAUUGACUCAAAAAAUGAUUGGUUUGAUCAAACCCAGAAUGAUUCCAAUGAUUAAUUGUUAUAACUAUAAUUUUAAGCAGUUCUCACAAAUAGAACUUUUUUAGCUAAAAUGGGUUUAAGAGCAUAUCCAACCACACAUUAGUAGGUUCACAGUUCACCAAGUUCAUUGGCCGGUCUAGUCAAUUUUCAAAACAUUGCUACCAACUAGCAUUAGUACCAGGGUCUACCAAAUCAGUUCUAGGGCUUGCACCAGCCGGCGAUCAAUUUCUUACCAUAAGGGUCAAUACUAUGUCGUUCUGAGACACAUCAAAACAAGGGAGCCAAAAAGAGGGGGCGAGGGAGGAGAGAAAGGGAGGUUGAGGGAGAGAGAGGUUUGAACCAUCACUAGGGACCUUCAAGAGCCCUGAAUCUGACAAUGGGGACCAAGAGGGAGAGGGAGAGGGAGAGGGAGAGGAGAGGCUGGGACAGAGAGGUUCAAGCCAUCAUGAGGGAGCUUCAAGAGCUCCAAAUCCGACAAUGGGGACGGACAUAAAGAGGGAGGGAGAGGAGGGGGAGGGAGGGAGGGAGGGAGAAACUUACUUGGGUAGGGACCUCAUCGUCAUCGUCAUCAACUCGAUCAGUGCAGAGGGCUUUGGUGAUAGGGUUUCCAAAUAGACCAAGGAGAGAAGCUUCAAGAAGGGGAGGGGCGAAGCUCUUAUAUCCCAAAAGGAUGGGUUGAAUCAUGCUGGUGAUUGACCAAUCUGGUUUGGCACGUCUUGAACCAACAGAUUUACAGUUUGGCUAACCUUGAUUAGUACGAACACAGAAAGAAUAUCUUUAUUUAGUUUUUUUUUCUAUUUUCUCAAAACUCAAAUCUAAAUAAAAGUAUCUAGUUUUCAGUAAUAUGCAUUAAGAUAUGAGCUAAAAGUGGUUUUUCUUUUGUUACAAGCAUCGAUCUUUCUUUGAUAUAGUUUUAUUUUUUGGGUAAAAGCUUCAAUUUUCCUCACUUUAUACAAUAAUUUUUAAGUUAACUUUUAUGACCGAAUCAAGCUCACUAUUAAGCUAAGCUCAUCACUGAGCUCACGUGCCUUGAGUGUAUUAACAAGCAAAUCGAUAAAUGAGCCAAGCUUCACAAUCUAAGUGAGCUCGAUCUUCACUUGAUUCAAUUUUCAAGCUUUAAGAAGCUGAGCGUGAGUUGGCUCGAUUAUAUAUGAGUCGAGCCUGGGGUGGGGUUGCCAAGCUCAUCUCAAGCUUGGGUCGAGAUUGAGCUGUGCAAUUUUUCUUUUCAUUUCUAGCCAAACUCAAAUAGAGUUUGCUAGCUCAUGUUUAGCUUAUCUACACCCUUAUGAGCACAGCUCUUUGAAAGCAAUCCAUGCUGAAAUAUGGCAUAUCGCCUCAUUUUUGCAAUUUCGAUAAUGGAGUAUUGGGUGUUAGCACAGUACCAUACCAUACAAAUAAUGUACUAAUGCAAAUAGUACUAGUUAUUCAACCAUUGAUCACGAUUCUUACAAAGUCACGGUGGGCAUAGAUUGGUCACACGACAUCCUUGAAGCAAAUUUUUACUUCAUCCACUCUUUCCAUAUUCUAUCAGACAUCCUCUAUCUCAAUGUUCUUGCAUGUAAAAGAUCCAAGAGUGUAAGUUGAUCAAGUUGGGCUAUCUCAUCACCAUUAGUGCCUAGUAAGGCCAAUUUUUUAUUUGAUUCUACAAAAAACAUUUCUGUAAAUUCCAAUUUCACUUUAGUAACUAAGUUUGGGCCCUAAUCCCCUGAAAACUUCAUUUGCAAUUCCAAUUUUACACAAACCCCUGGACAUAACAGCAAGUCACAUAACACCAACAAACUCCUGAGCCUCAGUAACAGGAUCAUUUAUGACGCAGCAAGUUAUGCACUUGAGAGUCAAACCUUGGUGUUGCCACAAGUGCACCUUCAAAAGUCACUUAUACAUUCCCUAGUAAAUAGACAUAACAAGGUAAAAAUGAUGAACCAUGUCAUAUGAUCUUCCAACCUCAUUCAUAAGAUUCAGUUCAAUUUUGUGAGCCACUUUAUCAAGGGUCAUGUCUUCUAUUGAUGCAAGCAUCCCUUAAUACAAGAAAGUUAAAAGAACAUAUUAAUCUUAUUUAGGAUCAUAUCAAGUUAGCAAGCACAACUCUAUCGUUUCAAUAUGUUUGUGCUGUACACCAAAUCCUGGAGAACCUGGAGUCUGAUCGAUGUAGAGCAAAAGAAAGCCUCGCUAACAAGAAUGAUCUACAAAAUGCUAGGAAUGCAACUGCUGAUUUUGAACUGAACUAUCUAUCUCCACAUCAAGCUUGCUAGAUAAAAAGUAAACUAGUAAAUAAAUUGCAGCAGUGAAGAUCAAGGCAUCCAAUACUUUGCUCUUAUAACAGAAGCAUAAAUCACAAAAUAAAAGGUUUGUAGGAGAGUCAGAAGUUCAUACCUUGCAACUCCUAUGAACAGCUGGGUGUUUAAUGAAGACUUAAGGAAAGAACAAGACCACGCCUAAGAAACACUCUAAAAGCAAUAAAAUUUGUGCAUAAUGAAUGAAUUAAAGGAUACAAUUGAGAAAAAGAUAAAUCCAACGUGUGACCAGCUAUGUUGUUCCAUAGCAAUAUCAAAACCCAUAUAUAUAAAUCUGCAGGCCAAACAAACUUAGUAAGAAAAGUUAAUUGUAAAGUUGGUCUAGAAAUAUAAUUAACAUUUAUAAAGAAAUAUAGGUGUUUACUGAAGAUAAUGACGUGAUUCAUAUGAGAAUUUAAUAAGCAUUAAAAUAAUCAUUCAUGUGACAAUAUCUUACACAAAAGUUUCUGCCAAUGAUGAUAUAAGGUGGAAAAAAGCAGUAGCAAAACGUUGAGAGUUUUCUGAUAAAUUUGAGAAGGUAUAAUGCUUCAUGACCUGAAAAGAAUGGAAAGAUAAAGAAUCUUGAAAACAUUUAUCACCAAAUAUGGAUAUCUGUACAGGUUAACAGGUAGAAAAUGUACUUACAAUUCCAGUGAACAAUAUAGAAACAAUUCCAGACAGGCCAAGACCUUCUGCUAGCAUGUAGCUAGAGAGAAUAAUCAAAAAUUAGCAAAUUAUGACUUUCAGAUGCAACUGAAUGUAGAAAUAAGAAUUCAGUAUUGGCUUACGAAAAGUAAGGGAAAAGGACAAACAGACAGCACUCCAAAUUCUGAAGGCUGGAAGAACAAACAAUGUCAUUCAGUACUUUUUAUAGCUGCCAACCGUUAUGAGAAGAUUGAAAAAAAAUAAAAAAUCAAAGGAUAAGAAAAGAUAACUGCCAUACUUACUUGUCAAUGUCCAACCCAGCAUACUUAAAGAGGUACCAAGUGGUUAAGGUUUUUCAAUAUACUUUAUUGCAGAGAGAAUAAAAACCAAAGUACACAUCCUCGUUAAAUUUAUCACAAUAUAUGCAACAAUAUUGAAUCUUAUGAAGAGACAAGGUGCAUGGACCAGCUAUAUCUUGUUAUGCAUCAUCCAUGAUGAAAAGUUGCAAGCACACCUGUUACCCUCCAAAAUAGAUUCCUGAACAUUUUCUUUAAUCAUUAAAAAUCUGAUCAUGAUAAUAUACAAAGCAUUAUAUAUGUUCAUACAUAGCAAUCUAGCAUAGAUAAAAAAUGGGUUCAAAAGGAAUCUAAUUCCUUGAGAAUGCAUGUACAGACCAUAAAGGCAUAAACCAUCAAUCAGUAGACAGCUAAACUACUUUUUCACUCUCCUUGUUUCAUCUCUUAGGAACAGAAUUCCAAGAGCAAACUUUCAAUUACAGCAUAUGCACAAGAGAAUGAAAAGCAUCAACCUAGAUCACCAAAUCACAGCUAAGUUUUCUUUGCAUUGCUGCUUUAUCAGUUGCACUAUUUAAAUAACCGUGGGGAGAAUAUUUCCCAUGCUGUUCUCUAGACAUGAUUCCAAGUUUGGAACUUGAUGCUCAAUCACAUCUUUUGACAACAUCUAGAUCCAUAAUUUGUCGUUCACCUGCUCAGACUAUUAGUAGUUCUACUUUAAGAACUAAACCUACAUAGAAUUUUCCUACUUGGAAGGCCAGACGUUUAAGAAAAUUGGAUAAACAAUAAUUGACCUAGGUGCAGAAUCGCUCCACUCAGUGUUAUCUAAUUGCUUAAGCAAUAUUCCAAUCUUGGGUCAGAUAAGAGUUCGCAGGAUUCUGUGUGAUCUCAGCUUAUUAGUCUGGCUUACAUAACCAGAGUUUAUUAUAUUUGGUUCUGCACUGCAUGUUGAACUUUUAAUCAUCAACCUACUUCAUAUCAAGGGGACAUCAGACCAAAGGAUCAAGAUCAUUCUAAAUUUUUAUAAGAUAUAAUAUCUCGGAGGUUACUUCCGUUAGAGGGUAUAUUGAUGCAUUUUUUUUUUCAUGGCAGAAAUACUUCAAUUUAAUGUCAUCCUCGUCUAAUGUCCAGAGCUUUUAGUUUUAUAUUACCUCUCUAUUUGCCAAAUCUAGGAAAAUUCUUAAUCCAAAGUUUCACAGUUGUUGAUGACACCAAGGUAUCACAUCAUGCUACUCUCUCUGUUUAUUAACUUUGUGCCUUGAUAUUUCAGUGCAUUUCAUCAGCUAUACAAUCUGCUUGGAACAAAAGCAACAGCUAUAGUUGAGGAAAACCCGGCUCUACAUGAGCCCACACUUGUGAUCACUUCUCUCUACGAAUAGUGGCUUCAUCAAUCAACAAUGCCCGCAAAUCAAAAAUUUAAUUCGGACAGUCGUCUCAAUUCUAAAGCUCUAAAACUCAAUCAUAUCGCGGAAGAUUCCACAGACAAGACAUGAGUAGAAUGAAACAUCUACCCUUGAUUUUGAACAUGAAAACCAGGUGAAACAAACCACAAUUGCUAAAUAUGAACUCUCCCUGCUGACAUAGUGAAAAGAAACGAUACAGUUUUUUUUGCAAUGAUCUCAGAAAUUCUACAUAUAGCCCACUCUUAAUUUUUGUGCUUUGUAAUUACCGUCCAUUUCAGCAGUUAUAAAAUCUGCUUGGAACCUAAGCAACAGCCAGAGUUCAUAAGAACUUGUAAUCACUUCUCUCUAUGAAUAAUGGCAGUCAACAAUGACUGCAAAUGGAAGAUUGAAUUCAGAAGCUCAUAUGAAUUUUUGAGCCCCAAAGCUUUAGCAUAUCAGUGAAGAUUCCACAGACAAGGCAUGAAUAGAAUGAAACAUCUAUCCUCAGUUUUGAAAAUGAAAACCAGGUGAAACAAACCACAAUUGCUGAAUCUGUCUCCCGAUGAUAUGAUGAAAAUAAACAAUAGAGCUCUUUGCAUUGAUCUUAGACGAUCUAUCCAUAGCUCACUCUUGAACUCAGCACCAGUCAGAUGAUGUUCAUUUGCAUGCCUUUAUGAUAUUAAACAGGUUAUUGCACUUGUUUACAAUAAGAUGAGCCCAUGUCUUACUUCUUUUUUUUUUUUUUUUUUGAGAAAAUGUCUUACUCAUUUAGAGACUCGAUGACUAUGCUUUGUUCAUUGCCUCAUUCAUAGCCCUCAGCUUGGUAAUACAAGCCUCCCUGACAUUAACAACAAUCUCACUAAAAACAUAGUCACUUUCUAAGCAAAAAACAAAAACUAUUGCCAUUAAGAUUUGUUCUGGACUUCUAUCUAUUUCUUGUCCCUUAAGGUUUGUUUGUCGCCCAAGAUUAGUUAUUAAUGCAACAUGAGUGCACCUCAGAUCUUGAUAUUCAAAACUUUGGAACAAAGACCUUAAUACAAGUCAAAUAGUCACAUGAUUUUGUCAAUAUUCCUCAGACAUUUUGCUGAUAUGGGUCCUACCAUUUUCAUCCACCUAAUAGUUGCAUGAUUUUGUCAGUAGUCCUCAGACAUUUCACUGAUAUGGUCAUACGAUUUCCAUCCAGCUGCAUGUUGACAUUCUUCACCACACUAGAACACAAACCCUUGCUAGCUGCUACAUAUUAGUUAUUAAUAGAGGCCAAAUUCCAACAAUGGGUAUAUGGAUCUAUCUGGGUCAUGCUUAGUUCCCACAAUUAGCAUUUUGGCAAUAUGAAGGCAACAAAUUGUACUGAGUAUCCUUCUUAAAUAAUCAUUAUGCCAUUAAAUGGCAUGAAAUCUGGAUUUUUCACCUGUGAAUGGAGAUAUCAAGAUUUAUAUUAACUUUAUCAACCAGGACUGCCUUGGCAGUGGACCCUCUCAUUUUCCUGAACUUAACUGGCUUCCUUGGUAGCAUAGUCUAACACCACAUAGCAAUCUCAAUAGGCUGCUCUUAAGCCUAUAAGAAAUUUCCACAGGGAGUCAGAGAAUAUCCAUUCCUGCUUUUAGGGACUUAAUGUACCCUUUAUAGUAGACCUCAAUUGCUGAUCAAAUCAUGUCAAACAACUAUAGGAAAAAAAAAUUCAGAUCUGAACAUCAAAAAAGUGACAUUAGCAACAAGACAAGCGUAUAUGCAUAGCCCCACAACAUACUCAUGCGCCCAGCAACACACAAGCAUGCAUGCAAGAACAAAAUUUAGUGACCAAAACACCAAAUCUCUGCACCCUCACCCGCACCCAAAAACAAAAAAAAAAAGCACAUACAAACACAGACACUUGCACACAAAACACCUAAAAAAAAAUGAAAAAUAAAAAUGCCCAUGGCCACAUGCAUGCAUACACAACUCUGUAAUUUUUGUUUAGUUUCACAUCAUAAGCUUUAGGAAAGGCUUUACAAUGCCAACAGCAAUAUAUGAAGCAAAAAGAAGAAAAUGACUGGAAACAACCAUAGAUUCACCCAUGCAAUUCCUUUCUUCAGCAGACCAGAAACUGAAUUGCUUUGCCUAUAAAUCAAAUAGCUCUAUAAAUUAUAAAAAUGUUGCAUUUUGAUAAUCAGAUUAUUCUAUUUGGGCCUUAAGCAGGCAGAUGUUAUAUCAAAAAUAUCUUCAGCCAACAGUAACUAACAUUUUACAAAAUCAUCUGACUGAAGCAAUAAAAUGAUUUUAGAAAGAAAGUAUCAAAUUAAGAACAAGGAAAUUAUUGCAAAUUAUGUUAGCAACAUAUGAAAGAUUUCAAUAGAAAUAAUACAGUUUAAGAACGGCUAGGAUGGUCAAUAUGCUGGGCCCUGUCCAAGAGCAACCCAAAAAGUACAGGCCAGGGCUUGUGUUUUAACUGAAACCAUGAUGUUUCAAGCUUCAUAUGAGUUCAGGCUGACCGGGUCAGGGCCAUUUGGGGGGUCAAAGAUGCUUAGACAAAUUUGAGACCAACUGGCCCAGCCCAUUGACAAUCCCAUAGAAGACAAGUUACUAGUGCAAAAGUUCCUCAAACAGAACAUUUCCUGAGGAUGACAACAACAUUAACACUAUAGAAAACAAAUUACUUGUGCAAAAGUUCCUUGAACGAACAAACGAACGCACGCAUAAUAUAUAUAUAAGUACAUUAUCCUUACAUUAUCUUUGAUGCCUAAGCUUUCUGACCCACAAAUAUUCUUUUUUGUAUUAUCAUACUUUUUCUGAUAUCAGUCCCUCACUAAGUAUGGCUAUAGCACUUGCUUUUCCUUUUCUUUCCCCCUUCCAAAUUUUCUUUUCCAUAUGCCUGCCUUGUUACAAUAAAUUAUCAGCUAGCUAAAACCUAGUCAUCAAGAAUGGUUCAUAUAAUAUUCAGGAAAAAAUAUAACAGAAAAAAACAAGUAACAGACUUCUCUAUAACUCUACUGAGAACAACUACAAAAGGUAUUAGAAAAGGAUAUAAGAGCAGACGUGAACCCAACUCCAACCCCUGUUAAACAUAGGAUAUUAGUUAAUUGAAAAAUAAAUUCUUCCAAAUUAAAUUACUGGAAUGAAAUACAUAAUUAAGUUGCAGAAAACCAAAAACUUGAGGCAAAUCUAACUCUUAUUUAAUCAGGUAAUUGCCUGAUGGUCUCAACUGCCAAUGACUUACAUGAUAAGAAAUGAUGCAUGAGGGACCAAAAGGUCCGAAACAUACAAGAAAUGCAUAUGAAAGAAAAUAGAUUCAAUAAAUUUAAUGCAAAUCUGUUACUCAAUGGUCACCAGUUGACCAUCAAUUAAUAACCAGAUGUAGUCAACAUAUUGUUUAAUUGAUUGUAACCCAAUGGUAACAGACUAACAGCACUUUGUAAAUGAUUAGAUGAGUCUGAAUUACAGAUAAAACACCUCUCUGAAUAAAUGUAUUAUGUGUACCACAAAUAAUGUCAAAGAACAGUAUGGUUUGUAAGUUUAAUUGAUAGAGAAAACACCAUCUAGAAUUCUAGAUAUUACAGGCUGUUUAUUUAUUUAUAACAUAUUAGCUAAUGAGAGCCUGCUCCAUAUUAUAAAUUGAUUAAUCCAACUCUAAUAAAAGAAAGAUAACGACAUUAUUUUUGAGCAAUUAAUUAUGAAUCUUCAUUCAAGAAAUACAGUUUGCAUAAAUUCCCCAUCAUGUCUGAUGCAAGGAAAACAAUCCAUGCCUCUUUUUUCAAUGUCAAAAAUGAGUCCAAAUAAUAAAUUUAAUAAGCAUGUAGAUAAUAAGAUUUCAUACUAACCAGAAGACAUUGAACCAACAAAUGUCUCAAGAAAUCUCACAACAAUCAUGAAAAAGUUUUGUCCUGAUGAAGCAUGACUUCUGACUGAUGACAUUGUCCUGGAGCAUAAUAUUUCAGUCAAAUAGUGAACAAUAGAUAAGGAACAGUUGUAAGAGCAGGUUUCGAGCACUUUAAGCAAACCUGUACAAGGAAAUCGCCAUCUACAAUGCCAACAAGGAAAAGAUAUGUCAAGCAACAAGCAAUAGCAGUUGACUAAUAUAACCAUGCGUUACUGGAAUUACUGGUUUUCAGACAAUGGAAAUACACAUACUGCAUCAUUUAGAACAGAUUCUCCAAACACCAAGGCAUAGAGGUUCAUAUCAGUGCCAAGUUCCUGCAAUGAUUUAAAUAAGUGACUUAAUGCGUACUGAAAAAAAAUAAGAGUAUGGCUUUAUGUAGACGAGUUGUGUAAAUGAAAACCAUCGACAUGGAGUUUGCAGAUGCCACAUAUAUGAUCUCCAUGUGAGGCCUCAAAGAAUUGCCAUUAUGUCAGAUUCAUAUCGUUUUGCAUACAUCAUAUAAUCCUCUGUCUGUGCAACUAUAUAGAUCUAACGGUCUCGAAAAAGGUCAUACAAAAACAUGGAAAACUCUAUUCCCAGAAAAAGGGAAACCUGAUUCUUCAAGAGAAUGUGAUACAUGGGUCAUAUUAGGCGCAGCAAAUUAUGAAGUUUCCAGGAGUCGAUUUUGUAAAAACUCACUGGAUGGAAGAAGAAACAGAAACAGUGGUGAUCAUCACAAAGCAUACAAUCAAACAACUGUUAAGCCCAAAAUUUUGAUCGUCCACAUAUCACGACAAGCAUGACUACAAGACAUGGAACUAAUCAAAUUGCCUCAGAACAACCUGAGAUGUGGUAUUCUUGGGAGGUCAGCAUUGCAAAAUAAUCAUCCACGGGAUCAUUUUUCCCUGCAUUUACAUUUAUGCAGCAUGCACCAAGUAUAGAAGCAUGCACAUAAAUAUGGCUGCCAAUUUUUUAUUAAAUAAUGUUAUGAAAAUUAAUUAUUUGAAUCCUUAGAAGAAACAUCCUAGAGAAGAAAAUGAAAAAGGGGAAAAAGGAGAAUCUAAAAAGAAUCGCUUCAGUUCACAAACUCGAUCAUGACACAUCCAUUCCUUAUUCCUUUUGAGAUAGGCAAAGGUGGAAAAGAUGGUAAAGUCUCAAAUUAUUUAGACGUUCUUAUAAUUAUAUAUAUUUGGAUAUCUCCUGAAUUUACAGAAAUGCUGCCAUUAAUUUGCACAAUAUGUCACACCUUUCUUGACCAUCCAUAUUUCUCAAACAGAUUUGAUAUGGUUUUUAGCGUGUGUAUACAUGCAUACGUACAUACAUAAUUUGGAUAUCUCCUGAAUUUACAGAAAUGCUGCCAUUAAUUUGCACAGUAUGUCACACCUUUCUUGACCAUCCAUAUUUCUCAAACAGAUUUGAUAUGGUUUUUAGUGUGUGUGUGUGUGUAUAUGUACAUAUACAUAUACAUACAUACAUACAUACAUAUACAUGUAUGCAUGCAUGCAUGUAAUGUAUGUAUGUAUGUAUGUAUGUAUAUGUAUCUAUAAGUAUGUAUAUGUAUGUGUAUAUAUAUAUAUAAUAGAUACAUAUAUAUACAUAUACAUACAUAUACAUACAUAUAUAUACAUAUACAUAUACAUACAUACAUACAUACAUACAUACAUACAUAUAUAUACACACACACACACACACACAUAUACAUAUAUGUACAGCUGAACAGAUUAAAUUACAGGAAAGGUGUUUGUAUGAGAGGGAGGGAGGGAAAGGGUGGGGGGGGGAGGAGAGACUCCCUUCUUGUCCCAUGCUUUCUUCUUUUAACAUAAUCUCAUCAUGAGACUUUGUUCAAAAAUAUGCAGUAUCAGCCAAUUGUAGCAUUCUACACAACAUAUUUGUGUGACAUACACCUUUUUCACCCUUUUUUUGUUGAGAUUAUUAUACCCACCUAUAGCACACCCAAUUUUUCUUCUCAUUCCAUCAAUAAUAUUGAAAACAAGUUGAGUAUAUUAGAAAUGAUAAUGAUAAGAUAGAUGAGUGGAAAAAUUGGAAAGGAUAAAAUAAGAAAUAAAUAAAUUAGAGAUGCUAUAGGAGUUGCACAAAUUAAAGAUGAAGCGAUAGAAAAAUGAUUGAGAUAAUAUGGACACGUACAACAAAGAUUUAAGGAAACUCCAAUAAAAACAGGUAUUUUAGUUUGUGCUAAAGGUUUGUAACAAAAGGAAGGGAAGAACUAAGGUAACAUGGAUGAAGAUUGUUAGGUAAGAUAUGGAGAAACUUUAAAUAACAUCAGAGGUUGCCCUAAAUAGGAACACUUGAAAAAUGAGGAUCCAUAAAACUAACCCCAAAUUUAGGGAAAGGCUAGAUGGUUGUGGUUCUAGUUCAUCAAUAGUAUUAUAAUAAAGCUCUAUUUUUUUUAUUGGAUUAAUAAAGCUCUAAUUUCAACAGCCAUUUACAAAUAAGCAGCAUAUAACCAUCUUUGGUUUGGACAUGUACAACACAGGUUUAGAGAUGCACCAGUAUGGAGUAAAUUGAUAUUUGUAGAAGGAAAGAGGGGCAAAGGUAGAUGAAAAUCAUAUGGGAUGUAGUAGUCAGGAAGCACUUGAUAUCGCUAUGUCUUUUAGAAAGUGUGGCCUUCAACAAAGCAGAAUGGAGAAAAAAGAUUCAUGAAGCCAAGUGACUAAAGCUUAGUUGAGCUGAGUUGCACAGUGUGAUGCUUCGUCCAUUCCCAUGCAUUUAACAAUAUCAAGCAUUUUGCUGGAUUAUUCCCAUUGGUUAUUAUGGCCUAUUUCCUCGAGUCACCAAGGCGGCAAAAAUGUCCAGAUUAUCUCACAUGAGAACAAGAUUGCAAAGACAAUUUUCCUGAUAUAUAUUUCAGAUUUUCUUAUAAAAGUGUGGCAAAGAUGCCAUACCGGACAAAAGCCAAGACGUAAAAAGAGUUUUUUUUUUUGGAAAAGUUAGAAAUCGAUAUGGACCUUGGGAUGCAAUGUCAUUUAACAAAUUCUGGGAGACUGCCCAUGAUUUCAAAUAUGAUAAGAAAGGCUCAGGGUUAAAAUCUAACAGUCUAGCAACCAGCAGACAUGAACUGAAAAUUCAGCAUUGCACUGAUCCUACUUGGUAUGCAAGUACCUAGAAUGACUACAGAGGCUAAAGAAAUUUAAUGGUGGCAUAAAUUUCUGCAUUUUUUCUUGUUAUGAAUUAUGAUGAAUAACAAAUUAACAAACAUCCGUAAAAAGGUGUGAGUUUGUUAUGAAUUUCUAUAGAGGAAAAAUAGCGUGUAAUGAUUGCAUAACUUACUAAUAAAUAUAUCAUUUAAAAUAUUAAGAUGAAUAGAAGGAAAACAUCUACACACCUGGAAUAUGGAUAACACAGUGACAGGAUCUGUCGCUGAUAUGAGAGCACCAAACAUAAGGCAUUCCACCAGUGGCAGUCUAUACAUGAGAAAUGUUAAUCCACCAAGGUAUCUGCAAAGGAAUAACAAGAUAAAUAAACGACUGACAGGAAGUUUCAAAGGAAAUGCAAAUUUGCACAAUAAACAGGAAUCAAGAUUUAAAGGAUGCUUACACUAAUAUCCCCGUAACAAUUGAUGCAACAAAUGUCCCUAGAAUUGCAAACGUGACAAUGGCUCCAAAAUUUGAAAAGAAUGGUUUCUGCCGAGGCCAGUUCGGUAGAUGCAUCACAUAUGCAACUUCAAUGCAAGAACAACAUGCAGAAGAUGAUACAACUCUAAAACACUUACCGGUGCUAAGCUGAACCCUGAUUGAGUACGCUGAAGUUAAGAGAAACAUCACAUAACCCAUGGCAUCAUACAGUUUUAUCUGAUGAACUUAAAACAUAAUUUAAAAAAAGAAAAGAAAAAAUGACUUUGGACAUAGCAAAGAUUGGAUAUAAUAUAAUUGGAGGUAACAAGAAGAGGAAGAAAAAUUCUUCAUGGAAAUUGAACCAAGCCCUGGAAAAGGAAGCAAGCAAUCAGUACAAGAAAACAAAAAAUAUGUUCUAGUUCUUUCAUGCAAAGAAACAUAAAAAAUCACAAACCUGAUGCUGUUUUCUGUGUUUGAAAUGUUAGCAAGUACACCGACAAUUAAACCUGCAAUGAGGGGGAAUGAGUUAUAGAAUCGUAUGAGGUUCUUGACUUUGUUUCUAAACAAUUCCACUCCUUCCAGCAUCAAAAUCCAUAAACUCCAAGACACUGCACAUACUAUAUUGUAUUCCAGCACCUGAUGUAGCCUGGCAUUGAAAUGCUACCGACUAUGUUAUGCCACAUCCAGCACCAGUGUUUGCUGCUCUCAUAUCAAUCUGAAGUUUGAGGAAUCCAAUCCUCAAACUCUUAUAUUUCCUUUCUUUCUCUUUCUCAUUCUUCUAUUUCAGUUCUGAGACUUAUUUCAGAUCAGAACUGAAUGUUUGUUACAUCUAAUUUUAACAAAGAACUGCACCAAAACUGGUAAAACAAAAAAUUAUUUUUCCUAGCAUGAGAAAUUACCUGCCCGUGAGACAUAAUAUAAAGUUUCACAACAUGGUAUUGCAAUAAGAGGACUUGAAAAAGAAGAGGUUGGAAAACAGACACAAUAAUUGUAUAUAAGGUUCUCAAAGAACAAAACAAAAAAAAACUCAACGAGAAGUUGGCUUAAUGAGGUAGUUUAAAAUCUAUAAGUUAAAAUUGAAAUUCAGAUACAUAAUCCUUCAACUGAAUCUUCCACUGCAGGCUUGUAAAAAGCAAAUACCAGUUUGGAUUGGCAAAGUGUUGGAGAUGGAUAUAUAGGUCAAGAAAAACUUAGCUAUUUGGAUAUAAUUAAGACUAUAAAGCCCUGAUUUUAAUUAAAGAAAAAAAUGCUAGGCAUUAUAAAUCCCCAAACACCAAUCAUUCUCAUCAUCUCCCACCUGUAGAGCUACAUUGGGCUUUUCCAAAUCCACUCAAACAAAUUGAACAUGUGUAAGCUUAGCAUUUUGUCAGUCCCUACUAAACAUUUGAUGCCAAUAUGAGCAUCUCUUCUUACCAAAGCCUCCUAAGAUUCAUAUCACUACAUGUCAAUACUAACUUAAAUGGCUCUCCAUCAAUUGUCCUUCAUUAUUGCAACUUAUGUGCCACCUAGAGUGCAAUCAUUCCUCAUCAUUUUUUAAUCAGUUUUACCUUACAAUCAUCUCAACAUUCUCCACCUUUUUUUUUUUUUUGCAUGGGCACUCUAAAAUCUUUUAAGAAAUAAAAGAGUGAUAUCUGGAGAUUUCCUCAAUCAAAGGGUCAGAAUUCAGAUAUCCUCCUUGCCAUAAGGUAUGUGAACAAAGAACAGUAUGCAAAAUUGAGAAACAACAUGGUCUACACCAAGGCUUACAAUGCAUAUUAUAGUUGCUGGCAAGAUAAGACUGCAAAAUGGGACGAGACAAAAAGAAAAAAGAAAAAAAAACUUUUCAAAGGGUGUGGAUAUUUUGUCAUAAACCAUUAAUAAACGCCAUUCACCAAGCUUGUCAUUUAUAUAUUAUGUAGAAGAUGAGUAGGGUACCAAAUAUAGAGCAAGGACUACAGGUGCCAUGUCAAAUAAUGGUCUUAGCCCUAUUGGUAGUUGGUGUCUUGGAGAGAGAGGACACAUUGUACUGGGACAUCAUCCUACCAAUUCCGCUUUUUCUUCCAGGACCUAGAAAUAACUUCCUAGACUCUUUUGGAUGCAAUUGUUUGACAACCAUGUGCUUCACAAUAAAAAAACGACCUUUGCACAGUGCCAGAUUAACUAACACCUUCUACAUCAAUAGAGAAAUAGUAAGGUCCAACUUGAAUACCCCUACAUCAUCUACAAAGCCCCUAAUCAUAUUGCUUACUAUCAUGUCCUGUCAUAUUAUAUGCGUGACCUUAUCUCCAAGACCCAAGUACCUUAUAGAAUAUUUUCCUACAUAACAAUCCAAUAUAGAAACUCCAGCCCAUAACCUACAGAAUCUCAUGCCAUGCAAACUCUCACCCCUUAAUUCAGCAAGCUUCCAGUCAAUUCCUUUACAUGUGCAACUCUCCUCACUCACAAUGAAAUAAAGCUUGUGAAUCAUAGAUAAAUCUAACAUUAGCAUCUUCCCAUCCUCCCACCGAUGUAGCUCCAUCAUACUAAGGAUAUAAUAUUCAUUCAAACUACAAUGGGCACCCCUGUUAUUCCACCCAUUCAGACCAUUGCUGCUUGUAACUUAUGUAGAGAUUUGAAGAUACCCUUUCCAUAGUCCACACCCUCCCCCUACCGCUUUUAGCUCUCAAUUGCAAAGAGGUUGCAUCCUUCUCCCCAGUCAACAUAAAUCAAAACAUGGCAGAACCUCCCAAAUCAUGAUUCUAGUAAGGAAUCUAGAACUUGCCGAAGAAGGUAACAGGUGGCAAGAGAAUCACCAUCAUAUGCAUCCCUGGUUUAAGCAUUAUCCAGCAGAACUCCAACUUAGUCUAGGUCAUCUAAUGAAGCUCUAAAAUGAAACUAAAAACUUCCAGAAUAAAAUAGUAAAAAAAAAGGUUCCAGAUAAAGCAAGAACCCUGUUAGAUUUGACUGGCUAUUGAGUUUAUAGCAAACUCCAUUCCCACCAAAGGAUCAAACAAAUUAGUGAUCCAAAAGCCUCAAAAAAGCUUAAUCUCAAGAUUCAAUUGUCAAUAUCACCAGCAUGAAAGUCGAAAACUCUAUGAGAGCUACAUCUUCUCAUCUUUUUUCUUUUUUUUUUUUUGUGAGGUAGUUCCAUGCCCAUAAACCCAAUUAUGUUAGUCCAAUACAUUCCUCAAUCCCCACUAAUUACACAUCUCCACAAAAGCAAGAUUUUUUCUUUAUUUUUUUUUUAUAAUAGAUCCAUGAAGGUUUGAGAAACUCCUGUCCACAUAUGAACCUACCAAAUAUGGAGCACUAAUGACAUUUUAUGAGACUAUAAGCAACUUGAGUUAGACAUGCGUAAAUCAGGUGCUCAGCUUCACACAUCUCUGGUAGGCAAUACAGCACAAACAAGCAUGAGAACUAUGUCCAUAUACGAAUACCUAAAACAUCUCCUUAUAUCCUCCUCCUCCAUCCAUCUCUAUUUGUCUUCAAAAGCAUCACUUUGUUAUGGUCUAAAUCUUCCAAGGACCAUUGUUCUUUUCUACUUAUUUCCCAACAAAAGCCUUACCCCAUCUCAUCAUUCAACAAAACUACCUUCUAUCCAACCAGAUCAGUCCUGUUCAAUCAUGUUUCUCGUUAACAUUAUGUCUAACAUGAAAAGGCAGGGUCAUACAUUUGAGACAGAUGCAGGCAGACGGCAACACAAUAGCUGACUGAUUAAGAAACGAUGAACAAGGAAAUAAAUGUUUAUCAUCUAGGAGCAGCAAACUGUCGCCCCCUACCCUUUUCACAUAGGAAUGCUUGGUGCUUUUUCAUCCAAAACUUCCGUUUUCAUGCUCUCCUUAACUUCAUUAUGUUCAGUGAAAUAUGGAAGCAUUAUUGAAUUAUCAGCCCGCCAUUGUUUAACCUAAAUUCCAUUUUAAGGUAUAAAACCUAGAAAAGUUUAAUUUCGAGUUAGUCACCAUACAUGAAGAACAAGAAGAAUAAUCACCAUACACGCACAUAUCCUUAACCAGUUUCUUUGAUACCAUCAACUCAAAGCAUGUAGCGAAUCUUUAUAGCACAAAAAAUUUUGGAAAAAAGAAAGAAAGAUCAGCAAUCUUGAAAAUUUGAGCCGUUAAUCUUCCAAGUACGACGCAAAAAAAAAAACACGGACUGGUCCACAUUAAUACUGGAACGAACCAAAUUUCCAUCAAGAAUCAACUAGAUUUCAAUCAAGAACCAACUUCAAAGAGCCAGCAUCAAAUCUUGCAAAUUCAAGAGCAUAAAGAAAGCAAAGAAACAAAACACAAGUCCACAAGACGAGGUGGGAGGAAGGAUUACCUAUUAGGAGAGAGGCGCUGGCCUCGGGGAGGUAGUAAAACUUCUUGCGGCGGAGGACGUGGCCGAGGACGAAGGAGAGCACCAGCAUCGAGAUCUGGAGCAGGAUCCCCACCCCCGCCGCCUGCUGCUCUUUGCCCGGCGGCGGGCUUCCCACCGGCGAAUCCGUCACGUUCAGCUCCAUCAUCGCCGGCGAUCCCCCGCUCCGCUCUCACCGCCCUCUCUCUCCUCUUCUCUUCUUGAAGGCUUUCGUUUUUGACUCUUAUAAUUCUUCUCCGCUCGCCUACCAACGCUUCCUCGAGGGGAUUAAAUUAGGGCCGUCCGGCGGGUUCUCAGACAAUUAUAUCUUCCGUACGAAUGCAUAAAACAUUAUAUGCGGGAACGCAUCCCAUCCGCCGACAUUGGCACCGUGCCCGGACGCCGCGAGCGACGUCUUAUAUUGACGGACAGGAUGAGUUUUCGUAGAAAACGCGAGCGGCGGAUGUUUUUGCGCAUAAUAUCUUAUAUGCGUAGCUUUAGCUAAAUUGCGUUGUUGGGACGCGUAAAUAAUUCGCGGACUAUUCGUUCGUUGGCCUACGGCUUUGGCACCAGAGUUUCGGCGAGACUACGGCAGCGAAGAUUGGUCCGGUGGCUCCAGAUCAGAUGCGAACCGGUUUAGGCCUGGCUCGGACCCAAGACUUGGUCUCACGAGUCCGAGCUUGGGUUGUUGACCCAAAUCCAAAAACAAGUCCAGUCUAACUGGCAUGCAUUACUGGUUCUAGAUAACAAAUGGUGGAAUAAGUUUCAGCUAGCGGCAGUUCUAGCAUGAUAUAUAUAUAUAUAUAUAUAUAUAUAUAUAUAUAUAUAUANNNNNNNNNNNNNNNNNNNNAAAUUUUACUCAAAAAUCACUAUUGAAUAUUUUGAUAAUUUUUUUUUCUCUGGAUAAGUAAUAUUGUAGCGGUUACGCAAGCCCAUGCCCAUUCGGGAUAGAUAGAACUGGCUUAUAUAAUUGCAACCACCGACUUCGUUGCAACUUUCAGUGCUAAAAAAUUUCCCAAGGUCGACCAUCAAAGCCUAUGCAAAAUGGUCAGGUCCUACACCAGAUUUUGUCCACGAGGCUAAGAGCUCGGAAAGCUUAAAAAAUUUGGAGCUCAAUCGGAAAAGGCAACAUACGGAACUCGACCACCCACUGAGGGAAUCCGAUACUAUCGACCACCCACUGAGGGAAUCCGAUACUAUAGUCCACCACGAUCAUGCUAUUCUUCUCUAUCUAUCUAUGCAGUGUGUGACAUCUGCACUAGCAAACUUGUGGAUCACAAUAUUCGUAUGACAUCGAAAGAUACACGCAAUUAAAUAAAAAUAUAAAUGUGGUGGGACAGCUGAACUCCACCGCCUGAGCUAACCCACAAGUAUUGAAAUACUGUACAAGUGCAGCAACGAUCCGUCUAAUAGUUGAGAUACUGUACAUCAAUCAUCGAGUCUCCUUUGCGUGGGCUCUAUCAUCAUGCGUAAGUCUCGGUGAUUAGCCCACCGAGCCAAUUGGCAUGAUGCACGGCUACGUUGGUAAACAUGGUGCAGAAUAUGAUUUGUCCUAAUAGUUGGUGGAAGGUGAGGCUCACAACGAAGUAAUUUUACUCUUCCGACAGAAUUCUAGGAUUCCGUACUCGAAUUGUACCUAUCUUGUUAAAAGGCUCAUUCAAAUCAUUGUAUCAGCCUUAUCACUUCGGAGCUAUGCAGACACCUUAUCAUGUGUAUUACAUGCAAUGAGUGCUAGUUAAAUUCAAAACUCAUGCACGCAUUUUUUGGAGAGGGGUUGGGGUUGCAUCUUUAAGAGAGAGGCUACAAGAUGACAUACAUAAUAUAAACUGGAUGAUCUGUUUAUCACUCUCAAGUUAUGUUUCUAGUUCUGAGAAGAUGGUUAACCUACUAGAUUGCAGUUGAUGAUGUAAUCCCAUUCUCUUCUGAGACCUCUUGUAUCAUUCUCUUUAUUUCUUUUGCAAAUCUCCCUUUUAACUAAACACAAGGGAAGAAGAAAAAGAAGAAGAAGAAUAACAAUAGCAUACAGACUUCUAAGAGUGACACAGCAUAGGUAAAAGGGAACUAAGCUUUGUCUCACCCAUAAGGCCUAGCUUCUAGAGCUCCAUCCGUCAUAAAAUGAUGCCCAAUUUUUUAUGCACAAAGCCUAGAUCCAGAACUGAAGUUUGAUCUUAUAAAUAGCAAACUAAGUGCAGUUCUUUCAGGGUAUUAGAGCUACCUGACGAGCAUAAAAAGCAUUUAAAAAAGCACAAAGCUCGCAUAAUAUUGCAAGCUUAAGACAGUUAACAGUGUCUAGUAUAUAGAUGACAGUGCAUCAAUCAGGGCACAGUAUCAGGCCUCUUGCAAGAGGAUCAAAUAAAAGAAACAAUGAUAUAGUAACUCACACUCUCAUUUCAAGGUCAGGGGUUACGGCCUUCCUCUUUAAUUUAUUAUCAGUUUCUGAAUUUGUUCCAGAUUUCAUUUCUACAUCCUCACCUGAGUUUACUCUCUCCGGUUGACCAGUGCUAUCACCCUGUUCUGCCAGUUUUGGAUUACUUUCACCAUCACCAUCUGGAGCAUUUAAACCCAAGCUCAAAUUUAAAUCGGUUCCCUUGUUGUCUUCUGCAGGUGCUUCAUCCUUGUUUAUAGCCUGAAGGACAAAAACAAACAUCAAUACAUGGUUAAAAAGGGCAUCUUGGAAAAAUGGCAGCAAGUAUCUAGAUAUGCUUUUAUCUGCUUUGAGUAAAAAGAAAAAGAGCUUUUGCAAAAGUUUUAUCUCAUCUCGUGAUUUUUAAGGACAGGAAGUCUGAUGAGAUUGGCACAAAAGUGCUGGCCUAGGAAAGAUGAAACAGAGACAAAGAGGCCAUAUUAAAGGCUUUUCACACGAAUAUUUGGCAUUCUUUAAAGAGCUAUAGACUGAUAAUAAUACUUGACACAUAGAUCUGGUUGCUACACUCUUUGUACAGGUCCACAAGAAGAAGUUACUCAUGAUCAGACGCAUUUGACAUUUACAUGCACUCAUACUGAAAACUUGUACCAUGGUCCAUGUCAUGUAAAUUGCAUAAUCUGUUGCUUCAUGUAACUGCCUUAUAGACUGCAUAAUUUUGUCCUACAGAUCAUCCCACACAAGUAUCAGGAAACUGCUUCAUCAAACAAGGUAAUGCACAGCCGUAGUGCUGCACCCGAGUCAUACCUGAGUCCAUGUACAAAGUUGACAGCAUAUGCCAAUGGAUUACAAGAUCUAUUGCUUCAUCACUUUUGAACAGUUAACUUAAAAUGACCUGGUACCUCUGUGCUACAAAUUGAUUCCACAUCAUGUUCUCUGUCAAACAAGAUAAUUCAUUGAUUGCAUGGUGAUUUUCCUAUUAUUUACUGUAAAUAUGCUUCUGGACCAACUGAAUGUAAACAACCAAAAAUGGUCCUGAUGGACCUGACACUAAAAUAUGAGACACAUCGUACGCCAUAGCUGGUGGGAACAAUAACCAGAGUAGAGGUUUAUGUAUCUAAAUGAUGGUGUCUCCAACAUCCUAUUAAAGAUAAAAAAUAAAGAUGAAGGCUCAAAUUGAGAAACAGGAACUUAUAUUUAAAAGACAAAAAGAUGACAAUAAUUAUUUGUGAAAAACAAGACAACAUUUUCAUGUGCAAAACAUCAGACAAGUAAAUUGAUCUGCUUCCAAUAAUGAGAUACUGUAUAAAUGAAAUAUAGGAAAUAUCUAAUUGCCACCUGAGCCUCUUCCAUUGAGGCAUCAUUCAUAUCAGGUUUUCCAUCAGACUGAUCAGACUGGACAGCCUGUGCAGAUGGAUCAGCAUCACUUGGUUUGUUCUCCUCCUCCAACUUCACAGCAGCCUCUUGCUUUUGCUCUUCAAUUACAGAAACCUGCAUUAUUCAUAUGAUCUAAUAAAAUAUCGACAGAAAAGCUAGAAAGACUACAGUAACUUGGUCUUCUCUGAACUUUAUUUAGCCAACUAGCUUAUGAUAGACAAUAUUGAGAAAAAUGUGAGUAAUAUUCUAAUACACACAGAUAAUGACGCCAUAUGUAGUUCAUUAUCAUAACUGGUAAAGACUGAAAAGAAGCAAACAAAGUAUUAAACAACACUCCGAUUGGAAGCAUAAGCUACACUGUCCACUUCCUGUGUCUCAAAGGGUCAGCAACCAAGUUAGCUGAUCAAUAACGUAUGAAGAGGAUAAUGCGCCCCCACCUAGAAAAGACAUGAUUUGUUCUCCUGUUUCUAUGAUGAUCUAUAAGUGACCAUGGUACAAUGGAAUCUCAUCCUCUCAAUAUGCAUGUUAUAUUCACCAGCCUAAUGUAUUUCACAAUGUGCAGUUACUUAAACUUAUUUCGAUAUGCCAUCUUCAUUUCAAAUACUUUUUUUUUUUUUCUGUACAUCAAUAUACCAAUAUGCUUUACACUAAAUCAGUAAGUAGGUGUUACCAGAAAUAUGCUACAGAGAAUUAUAAAAACAACUUUAAAAUCCAAGAGACUUAAAAUAUUAAAGAGACAGAACUCAUACUCUAAAGAACCAAUACUUCCAUACUUCCUAACUCACCAUUAAAUAUCAAGCCAUAUAAAUAACCUAAAGGAAACUUCCUAUACAUGUUUUCUCCAAAAUUAUGACUCCAUUAACCCUAAAAUCCUAUGAGGAGUCAACAAAGUGCAGAGGAGAAACGACAUUUUAGCAAAAACUAUUUUGUUUGGUCGAUACAUCUAGAUUAGAUCAGCAAGCUUAUAUAUCCGAAAAAAGCCAUUGAAAUAACCUUAAGAUCUACCGAACCAUGACUCCAAAGGCCUAGUUCCUGAAUACUAGAACUUUUGAAAUAUAUAAUUCAAUCCAACUCAGCUAUAAUUCCCAUCUAUAUCUCCAUCUAUAUCCACUCACACUAAAGGCUAAAAGAAAGCUGUCAUGAUAAGCCCUCAAAAUCACAACAAUAUCAAAUUUAAAAUUUCAUAUAUUUCCUCGAAUUUCACCAUAAAAUGAAGCAACAAAUCAAAAAAUUGUUGAAAGCCAACCAGCCUAGAUUGGCGUUCAUAUUUUGAGCAAACAAUCACUGAAGUCUCUGUCAUUGGGCCAAUAUAUCAUGGCUAUCCAAUUUCAAGGAUGAUCUAGGCCACCUCAAGUCAAGGUUGGAGUAGCAUGGGCAAACAAAUAUCCAUGAAAGUGGGCCAUAGGACCACUAACUAUGUGCAAGUCAUGUGACACCAAAAUAAACCAGCACAGCUUCAAGCAUGAAAGCAAUGAGCAUGCACCCCGGACUAACAUGUGAAGCAGCAACUAAGUUGACAUCAAGUUGAUGUGAGCCUGGCUUGACUCCAUCUAUAAUCCCUAAGAAAACCUAUAUCAUCUCCAUGUUGCUUCCGCUGCUACAGCAUGGCCUUCCAUGACCAGAUAAUGGGCCAAGCCCAAGGAUGCCACAUCUAAACCUCAAUUCAGUUUGAAAUGCACCUAUGUGCCUUUUAUAGUGCACAAUAUGGUGAUCAGCAACAACGCACAAUAAGGUGAACAAGGCAGCACAUAAAGUGCAAAGAAUACCUCCAAGCAUACGGCCACCCAAUAAAUCUUUUGGAAUUGUCAGGAUUAAAGAAAGUCCAUGCAUGAUAAUUGAUCAACAUGACAAUGCUGAUCUCUUUUAUCAGCUUUUUUCUAUUAUUUUCAAUGCUCAAAAUAAUUCAACUUUACAUAUCCCUGGUUGUUUUUCUUUAGCCCUUGUUUUUAAUUUUCUCUAUUCAAGAACCAGAGUGUGUUUAGUUUUCCCUUUUAUGAAUUCUUUUUACCGAUAACUAUUCUUAUAUCUGAUAUUACUUAAUGAUAUUUUAGUGGAACAGCUUUAGCUUUUUGUCCUCACGAUAUAAAGGAAUGUCCUGUUUCCCCAGCAAGCAUCACAAGCACGGCAUGAUGCUCAAGCUUACAUCUUCCUAACACCCAAAAUAUGCCCCAACACAUCCUCCACCAAUCUCCAUUUCCUACUCUCCUAUCUCCCAAGACCUUAUCAUGGUCAAUGUACAUUCUAGCAGCAGCAAUAACGGUUCCACGAUCAAAAUAGCAGUUCCACUAUCUCACCACCUCAUCCGAAGUAAACCCUAAUCAUCAAAAUUUCGGCAGAGGCGAGAAACUCUACAACCUUCGCCAAUCCAUCAAUCCCGGAACAUCAAUGCCUUUCCAUGGAUCUACCUCAAUUGCACAGUUAAGAAAAAGACUCGUCAAACACUUCUGAGAAAUGGCAAAUCGACAAACUGAAAAAUAAAAGUUCUAAAACGAACCAUUACAUAAACAUCAUUGUUUUCCAUAAAUAAAGGAUUUUUAUCAUUAUGGUAGUUUUUUUAUAAGAAGAAUAACUAAAUGGCGGAAUCAGCCAGAAAGGAGGUGAAUCCUAACGCCCAAAAGACCAACAGAAGAAAGGCCCACCCAGUUCGGAUCCCAAGAGCCUCUCAUCCAAGAUCGAAGGGUUGUAGGUCAGCAGAUGAAAGGAAUCAGCUUACCGGGACGUAUCGGAACUUCCUCCGGGGCGGCUCCUCGGGCUGAGCGGCGGCGGAGGCGUCCUUCCCGGUGGCCGCGGGGGCGGCAGCGCUGCCAUUGCCCCGGGAGGAGAUGGGAGUCCACUUGUAGAGGACGAGGUGGGAGUGGUUGUUGUUGGUGGCGGUGCCGCCGUUGGCGGCGGCAGCGGCAGUGGCGGCGGCGGCGGCGGCGGCGGCGGCGGAGUUAGGGUUGGAGAGGGGGACCCACAUCUUCUUCCACUUCCGGACCGGUCCGCUGAAGACCGUCGCCGGCCCGUACCGGGUUGACGACCGGCCCAGCCGGGCCCCAACUCCUUCCAUUGAGCAGUAACAAGAGGAGAGGGGAAGACUGGCUUUUGGCUUUAGAGCUUCCAAUAGAAGGGCGCGGAGAAUGAAGACGACGACCACUUCGUUGUCCUUUUUUAACCCCCUUGUCCCUCUCUCUCUGGAGAAGUCGUUUCGUUUGUUGAGGAACUAGGCCAGAAGGGUGUACAUCCAUAAAAGUAUGGAGUGCAGUUAUAAAUUUUAUUUUAUUUGUAAAAUAGUUUCUUUUGUAUUAGCCCAUUUCAAAGAUUGAUAUUACAAAUAAACCCCCUGAGUUUCAUGUAACUUUUGUGCACGCUCCGACUCCAAUGGAGUCGGCCAUUCGCAUAUCAUCCUGCUACCAAUAUCGAUAAAUGGAGUUGAAAAUAAAAAGAUUCUACUGGUUUUCGGUGCCACGGCAUUGGUAGAUUGGUAGCUGUUGAACCAGACAGCCGUGAUCUAUUUCUGGUUUAGGGGGUGGAUAGACUAAAGAGGAAAGCACGCAAAUGUCCUGCAACCGACUGAGAAAUAUCACAAUGGGCACCCAAAUAAUUGAAACGACAGUGCUAGCUGCACUUCGAACAUUUUUUUUUUAAUAUUAUUUUUUAAUACUUAUUUUCAAAUCUACUUCUUUCCUAAUUUAUAUUUCAAAAUACAGUAGUUUGGCUGAAUAAGAUCCAAUGCGACGAAAUCGAGCAUGUUGAACAUACCAUUUCGGACUUGAAAUCGCAUUUUGAAUGCUUAUUUUUAAAUCUACCCUCUUUCUAAUUUAUUUUUUAAAAUACAGUAAUUUGGUUGAAUGGGAUUUGAUGCAGCGAAGCCGAACAUGCUACUUCGGACUCGAAAUCACAUGUUCAAAAUAUGAUUUCAAACUGAGAUAGCACUCUACGAUCGAUAUUUUGAAAUAUAAAUUAAAAAAUAAAACUGCAUGUUGAAAAUGUGAUUUCGUGAUGAAAUCGUAUUUUCAAUAUAUGAUUUUUUUUUUAUUUUUUUUUCAAUUUUUUUUUUUUUUUGCUUUGCCCUCUCAUGCCGAGGGAUACGAAAGUUUCGGGUACGAACAUCUUGUAUCGAGGGGUGCGGACAAAGGACAGAGAGGGGGGUGGGCGGAGGACGGAAGAGAUGAGGCCGAGGCCAGGGGGAAGGGGGAUGGUGGUCGCACGGUGUGCGGAUUCACUAGGGCCUGAGGGGGAAGGGAGGGGGGACGGUGGUCGCGCGGAGCUAGAGAUGAACGGCAGGUGUGGUGUGGACAGUCGUGGCCUGGACCUCACAAGAGGAGAGGGAGGCGGCUACGAUAGUGGGGCGAAAUGGGAGUAGGGCUUGAGGGGACGCGGCAAUCGGAUGGAGGUGCUGUGGAUGGCGCAUCAGAGGAGGGUAGGUACAGGUCGGCCGCCGAUAGAAGAAGAUGGAGGAUCGAUUGGGGGGGGGACGUGGGAGGAAGGAAAGGAAAAAAACUAGGAGAAAAAAAUAAAAAUAAAAAUAAUAAAUAUAAUAAAUUAUUAUUNNNNNNNNNNNNNNNNNNNNUUUUUUUAUUUUUUGGAGGGGUUUUGGGGGGAAUGAAGGAAAAAAAGAGAGAGAAGAUUACUAAUAAAAUAUUAUUAUUUAAUUAACAAUAAAAUAUUAUUACUUGAUUAAUAAUAAAAUAUGAUUAUUUUAUUAGUAAUAAAAUAUUAUUAUUUGAUUGAUAAUAAAAUAUGAUUAUUUGAUGGAUAAUAAAUUAUCAUUAUUUGAUUAGUAAUAAAAUAUCAUUAUUUUAUUAAUAAAAAUAUUACUAUUUGACUAAUAAUAAAAUAUUAUUAUUUUAUUAAUAAUAAAAUAUUUUUAUUUGGAUAAUAUUAAAUUAUUAUUAUUUGAUUAAUAAUAAAUAUUGUUAUUUUAUUAAUAAUAAAAAUAAUACAAAUAUGGCGUUAGACGAGCGUGGAUUAGCUACCUUAUUAUUAAUCAACUCCAACCUUUUAUUGGCUAUCGACUCAAUCCUCGAUUGUUGAUCUUUACUUCAGCAAUCUAUCUUCACCGAUCCUUAUGUCUGUCGAUCCAAAGCUCGUUGUGUGGGUUUUAUUGAAUCUGAAAUAAAUGAUAUUAUCUGCAAAGCUUUUGAAUAUAAUUAUCAUUCAAUUCAAAUUUAAUCAAAUAUUAAAAUAUAAAAUAUAUGUAAAUAAAUUUUUUGUUCUCCACGACUAGUCCUUUCUGGCACCAUCUGCGGCUCCACCCAUCCGCUACUAAUCUACACUCCUUCGAUGAUAUAUUUGUAUUAUUUUUAUUAUUAAUAAAAUAAUAAUAUUUUAUUAUUAAUAAAAUAAUAAUAUUUUAAUAUUAUUCAAAUAAUAAUAUUGAUUAUUAAUCAAAUAAUAAUAUUUUAUUAUUAAUCGAAUAAUGAUAUUUUAUUAGUAAUCUCUCUUUUUCUUUUGCCUUUUGUUUCUACAUUCCCCCCAAACCAAAACCCCCCCAUCCCUGGCCGCUUACCCACACCCACCCCCUCCGGCGCUCCACCCGCAGCAUCUUCGUCCGGCUAUCGCUCCUCCACACCCUUGCCCCCGGACCUCUGAGUCGCCUGUCCGCACUGCAUAGUGCUUGGCCCCUGUGCCUGUACACCUCCCCUCCUGUGCCGCACCCUAUGCCCCUCGUUGCCCUGGGACCCCCACUCCCCUUUCCCCACGACUCUGAUGAAGCCUGCACUCCAUGCCCCCCGUCACUCUGCGCGAACACAAACCCAUCCUCUAACCCCGAUGCUCGCACCCCACGCCCUCCGCGACCCCCUCCCCCGGCCAUUAUGCCCGCACCCCACGCCUCCCCUACCUCCUCCCCCUCCGGCCCCAGUGAAGUUUGCACCCUCGCUCUCACUCGUCUUCUGUAUUGCAUGCAUCAGGUGCAAUUAGCAGCACAAAUCUCACAGUGGAUAACACGCCAUGCGACCCUUGUAUUUCAUCCAUUUUUGAUUGCACACAUUUUACUGUACAUAUGCUCCAAAAUUUACCAUCGUGUCUCUUGUGAAAAAUUAAAAUAAAUAAAUAAAUAAAAUUACAUCUUGAAAAUACAGUUUCACUAUAAUGAAUGUUUUAUGUGCAAUUUUAAUUUUAAUUUUUAAAUUUUAAAUUUUUUUAUUAUGAUAGAUCACGUCAAUUAAAAUCGGAUGUUUUCAACUCCGAAAUUUAUGUUAUUUCGCCGCGUACGAGCCGAAUCAACCCAAAUGCCGUAUCUUAGGGAUAAGUCUGAAAAUAAAUAUUAAAAAAUAUUUUAAAAAAAAGAAUCCCUACACUUCAGGACAAUCAAAAUAAAUAUCCCACGUGGGCCUUGAUUUGACUUUAGAUACCCAGUUGCGGGCAACCGCCGAGCUAUUAACUUUUUGGUGCGCUGAAAAUGGACCGUUUUCCUCCACUUUGAUUAUCUGAAUGUCAAAAGUGAAAAAUUGAAAGAACUUUGGAGCAGUGCUGCAGCAUCCCACCAUCAUCUCACUGUCGUCCAGUAUUAUAAUUCGUUCGAACAAAGUGAUUUCAAACAUGAUGCAAGCCGAAGUCACUUGAAAACUAAAAGUGACUCACCAACUUAUGAUUUUCUACGACUCAUUUGAGGUGAAAUUGAUUAUAACUAACUCGAGUUGAAAGUGAUUCAAGAUAAUUUUAUUAAAAAAAAAGAAUUAAUCCCGCUUCUACCCCAGCUCCACACUCAAAUAUGGUAAACGGCAAAAAUAAUAAUUUUUUUCAAAGCAUGCUUGACCCAAUUGUGAUAAGAUGGAACAUCUUCUAAUACCCAGAGGGUUCAUAUCCCCAACCAGCCAAGAGCGGAAGCCCAUAAAUAAUUCAUUGAUCGAACAAGGAGAUCAAACUUGGAGCAGGACCCAGCAUUUAGAGGAUACCCCCUUGACGACAUAAAACCUGAUCGAAACCACCGAGAAACCCGUGAAUCUGCAGCUGAUUCAUUUCGCCGUCAUCACAACAUUGUAGCAACAUCGUUCUCUUUCCAAGCGUAUGAGAACAUCAGAACUGCAACCAACCCCCCAACCCGGUAACAGAGAUUCAUCUUUUAUCUAUAGCUGCUUGCCUCCGAGAUAAAUCAAUUAAAUUUCUCAGAGCAUCACCUUCUCGCUUAGCCAUCAGAUUCGGGUAUAUAGUUGAUAUAGGAAGCUUGUACCCGUCCUCUUUCAAGCUUGUGCAGCUCAACACGUAUUCAGAACGUUAAAUUUUGAAGAUGUGGAACAUAAGCACGUGAAUUUUGAAUAAAAAUUCCAGAAUAAUGAACAUUGAUAUAGACAAGGAGUUAUUUGAGCAUUACAAUAGAGUUACAGUUCUGUGAUAUGAUUCCACAAAUUACAAAAAGAAGUCGAGUUACCCCAUCCAUUCUUUCUAAAAGUACAAUCUGGACCAAAACCUGAGGAAUGCAAAAUAUUUUUACCUCAUAUCCAUGCUUCAGAUGUAAGUAAGACGUCCAUCUACAACUCCUAGCCAGGCAACACAGGAUGCACACAGGAUGUAUGAACUCUCUACGAGCUGUCCAUUGGGGUUUCACUCCCAGUUGGGGGGAUGACAUUUAAAGCACUGCUUUCCACGAUUUUCUGCUCCGUAUUCCUCCCAGCUCCAAAAACAAAAUUACUGGGAGUGGUGUUUGGACCAGUGCGUUCGAAGAUGGAUGGCAUGCCCGGCUGAUUGAACAUUGGAACUGGAGAAUUACCAAUUGACUUGGGAUACCCAAACCCGAAACAUGGCAUUGAAUCUGAUAGGGACAGAGGUUGGACUGGCACAGGCUCAUUGGAUCCAAAUAUUCUCUGCUCGAACUCCACCAACUGUUGAUGGACAGCUGCAAUUCAUGAAUCAUGAUAUAUGAGUCACCUGAUGAAAUGAGCAGUUUACACGAAGAACUGUGGCUGCUAACUCGAAGUAGGGUAACAACCAACCUACUAGGGAGACCAUAUUCAACAAAGAAAAUAAUGCUUCGUCUUCCACAAUUACAAACGAUCUUAUCGAAGAUUAAAUAGCCAUUCCCUCUGGGGAUAUGAACCAGUAGAGGUCCAUUCCCCAUCUCAACGUGGAGACGAACACACGCACGUGCGCGUGCACGAACGCACGCAUGCACAGAGGGAGAGGAAAUUGUUUCAGAUAUAAGAACCACCCUCAGUUUUGACUUCCAUAAAGAAAAGCCCAUGAUGUGUAUUGCAAGUUUAUAAAUAUCAGACUCCAUAUUCCUAAACAUCUACCGGGAAGAAGACAAACCUUGCGACAACUCCACCAGAGGCCUACGAUGCUUAACCCACUGAUAGCUUGGAGCAAAUCGCCAUCCUUUACUUUUCAUCAAGUAGGCUAUUACAAUAGCUGGUGACCUGUCAAAAGGAGAUGAUGCAAUGGUGUAUAUACAAGAAGCUUACAUGGAUAACGUAUAAACUCAGAAAUGUUAUAGAAACAAACCUAUUUUUUCCUGACAUGCAGUGAACAAGAACACGUGCCUUGUCCCUUUCACAUUGCUCUGCAUUAGAAUAUCCAAUAACAAAAUUUAAACAAAACCUAUAUCAGCUGCAAAUAUGCCAAGAGAACCCAACUUUGGUAAUGGUUAUUAUCCAACAACACAAUAGAAGUUGAAGAACAAUCACAAAAUAUAUGAAGUACGGAAUUGUGGGGGAGGGAGGGGAAGACCAUUGAUAGGUUUAAUUAAAAGAUCAGACAAUUAACACGCCUUCCUGCAUAGACAGGUUAUGCCUUAAUGACAGCACAGCACAAAAGGCAAUUAUGCAUGGAAAUGUCAUCUAGAGACAUAACCAAAUACUUAGAAAAUAAAACGAGGUUACUAGAUUACCAUAUAAACAAUAAGGCCUACAUUACCUAUAAACAAGAGUCAUCGAUCUGUCUUAUCCCUUUGUCAAAGAAUUUAUCAAAAUCUCAUCUUUUACCAUUGUGGAUCAAAACUCAGCACUCUCCUUAUCAGGCACACUUUUUAUUUUCAUUGUAUAUAGAAUUCCACUAACAGUUGCCUCUCACGAUAUCCUUUAAUAUGAAAUUUCUAAACGCCUAUAAUCAAGGUUUUAAAUCUUUUGGAACGGAGGUGUCCCGAUAUCUCUAUGGAAUGGGACACUCCACUGUUCCGUCCCGGUCAUGCAUCUCUGUCUCUUUUUUCUUCUUUUUUCCUUUUUUUCCUUUCUUUUCUUCCUUCUUCUUUCUUUUCCUUCUACAUUCUUUUUUUUCCUUUUUUUUCUUUAUUUUUGUCAUCCCUUCCUUUCUUUUCCUUUUUCUUCUUCUUUCUCUUUCCUUUCUUCCUUCUUUCUUUCUUUUCUUUUUCUACUCCCUUCCUUUCUUUUGUUUUUCUUCUUCCUUCCUUCUACUUUUUCCUUUUUUUCAUCUUCCUUUCCUCUUUCUUCUUCUUUUCUUGCAUGAAUAGGUUUUAGAGUCCCGAUCUCAUCCCGGUCCCGUUUUCUCAUAGGAACGGGAUGAGAUGGCUAGGAGAACCCCCAUCCCAUAGGGACGCAAAACCUUGCCUAUAAUCAUAGAUUAUUGUUUUCUCUCAAUCAUCUUUUGUAUACAUGGUUUAACAUUGCCAAUUAACUAGAAUCUCAUAAAUCCUUAGGUCUAACCUCUUUGUGAUGAUUAAAAAAGACUCCAAAUUUCAAUCUUCUCAACUUUCAUUAGUUCAGUUCAGCACAUGCCUCUUUUUUCUUUUUUUUCCCUAUCUUUAAGAGGCUUGUUUGUCAAUUUUUUUACAAUAUAAACCCGACAAUACAUUAGCAAAUUACAAAUUGUUCCCACUCCUUAAAUGUCAAUGGUUGCUUCUUUUGUGACAAGUGGAAAAAAAAAAUAGGAAGGUUAACAAAGGGUCUAGGCCCAUUAAAAAUGCCAAUUUAACAAUUUUUUUCACAAUUAUUUCUCAACCUUGACAUUUCUACUUCAUGCCCUCUAACCUAGCUUCAGCCCAACAAAAUUACCACCUUUUUCAUGACCUAUCAUGUGAUUUUAAGCAUUUAUACAUUCUCAUACAUUAAUCUUUCAACAAUAUAGCAAUUAAAGAUUUUAAAAUAAGAACACCAAAGGUUGAUAUUCCUAGAAUAAAGUAGCACUAUUAUUGUUAAAUUUACUUAGAAAAUUUAGCUAAUAUCAAUAGUUUAGGCUCAAGAAAAAGGCCAGAAUAAUUGUUAUGGAUAGCUCAAAUGUGUGUACAGAAGGAAAGUCAGGCUUGUGUUUCUCAAAAUAAUUUGAGUGAGACACGUGAAGUAAUAAAUAGAAGAACAAUAUAACAAGGCAGUAAUACUUCAAUGUAGUUCUGGGUCAAAUUAACAUGAUGAACACGUGUUAUGCGUUCCUAACUUUCAUGUCGUUGUAAUGACAGGAAGGUUAUAUAAACAGAAAUCAAGAGCGAACACAGUGCACUACUCAAUAUGAUGGAAUUUCUGAUGCUAAAUCCCCUGCCUACCUUUCCUCAAACUAGUGAGACCCAGACAUAUAAGAGACAUACAGAAGAAAAGUUGAGAGAAAAAAGUUUGUGAACUACUCAAUAUGAUGGAAUAUCCAGUGCUAUCUCCCCACUGUCACCCAACAGUAAAAAAGUGUACAUAUCUCAAAGUUGAUGGCAAUAGGAUAAAGGCCAUCAUUGGCAGCAUGGAGAUGUAUGAAGCAGAAGCAGCGUGGACAAAAUCAGAAAAGGAUGCAAAAGUUAGGAUGUAUCAGUAAAAAUGGUCAAAAGCAAGAGAUGUCUAAAGGUGUAUGCUUUUAAUAGUUCAUAAAGAUAAUAGUUCUUAAGGAUAACUGCAACAAUAGGAAUACACAAUUAUAAAAGUUAAUCAUAAGUCUAAGAGCAUGCAUCCACAAAUAUAAGUUAUGAAGGGUUACAAGGGACUUGACAGCUUGUUAUUUCUGUAACAAGUCAAUACAACUUGUCAUCAAGGAAAACAGUUCCAUAGUUCACAUCUUUCACUGUAAUUAAUUAAAGCAAUAUAUAAAAAUUGAACAGAUACUCAAAUGUGCAAUUAAAUAAAACUUGUGAUCUGACGUAUAUAUUAAAAAAGAAUCACAAAGCAUACCUAAAAAUUGGAUUGCAUCGUCAAAUUGUAAAUGCUUGUCAUCUUGGAGGCAAUGAUAUGUGAAAGAAUUCUUAUAUAGAUUUUGGCAUGCAGGCACAGUCUGCACAUACAUAAAACAACAUACAAGUGAUUCAGGAUAAUCUUAAAUAAUGGCAGCAACCACUCCCCUGGCUGAGAUUUAAAAGCAUAUACCAAAUUCUAACUAUAAACUCAUUUCUGAUUUCAAAUUUUUUAGAUCGAACAUGAUUGCAAUGUAAAUGAUAACAAAAAGGAACAUAAACCCAAUGAAAGGAAAGUGCAGUAUCUAUAACCUAUUUCCCAUUUUUCAUUGAGUACGACACCUAACUAAGACUAUUAUAGAAGCAGAUACAUAGUGAAUAGCAAGCUUCGAAAUAUGUUAUUCCACAGAUGAAACAUCAUUGGUUAAUUGAUGAGAAAAAGGUUGCUCAAAGCCAUGUUCAUGUUGAGGCAUUGCCAAUUUGUUGAUUUGUUUGUUGUGCAUAGACACUGGAUUGAAGCAUGCAAUCAAUAAGAUCGACAACAGCUUAAAUAAUAUAAGUAAUUUUUUUUAUACAUUCCUAAAAGAAUAAAUCUUUUAACCAGUUAUUGUGACAAAAUUAUAGAAUUCUAUAAAUACCAAAUUAUAUGACAUCUGUAUAACCUUGUAUUUCCUUCUAUAGUCAUGUGUCUAAUUUCUCUAUGUAUUAGUCUUGUUUGAUCCUCCCUUGAAGGAGCAUGAUAUAUUAAUCCUUAGAGUUGAGUCAAGUCCAGCUUCCAGUGGACAUAAUCAGUUUAGGUAGUUAACCUGAUCCUUUAAAUGUCCAAGACAUUUCCAAGUUGUGCUACAGGUCUGCUAUUAAAACAUAUAAAGACAAUGACUUCAUCUUUACUCUAAAUGAAGCAUAAUUCCAUCUUCUCUUAUCUUAAGAAAGUUUAGAUAAGGCUCUUCCCCUCCUUAAAAAAAAAAAAAACAAAAGCAAAAACAUUCCACCAGUCCUCUAUUUUCUCUUGACUGGACUAUAAAGACAACCAGAUUCAUACACAUUUUCUAAUGAACAUCACAAAAUUAAAUUACAGAAAAGGGUUCUUUAAAUAUAUAAUCUUGCAAAUAUGGAUCAUUGCACAUGUAACCUCCAAAAAAAGUCACUAUUUGCUACAUACCUUUCACAUACAUCCCAUUAGAAUUUUGGCUGACUGCAUUAACAAAAAAUUAUUUUAAGUACCAUUUCAUACUAUUACCCUUCUAUGUUAAUAACCCUAAAAAAUUUAACAUUCGGGCUGUACUAAAAAGAGCUACCUUUUUAUAUACCUUUUUAAGGUCAUUAAUGCAAAAGAGUAUUUAUUAGCACCAUCAGCCAAAAAUCUAACAGGAAAGUAUCUGCGCAAAGAUAUGAUGAUUUUAAGGGUACAAAUGCAAAUAGUAAGUUUCAGAAGGUAAUUAUGCAGUAAGCUUUUACAAGGGUAUGUAUGCCCCCAAAAAAAUAACUUUUACUAAAACUAAGUAAAUACAUUAUAUAGUGGUCUUUGAAAUGCAACAAUUUAACAGAACACCCAAAAUCCCCACAUAGCGUAAGAACUGCCUGUAAUUCCAGUUUUUCAAAUAAAAUCUACCUACACCAAAACCACCACUCCAAAAGCACACGUCGGAUUCUAUGAUGCCAUGUGAGCAUUCUUUUCCUCGUUCUUUUGUUAGCCUUCUAAGUUUUGGUAAUAGUAUUGUGGGCCAUCCAAUAUUGAUGAAACCCAAUCAAAAUGGGGAAAGGAUGAAUCAAUCUCAGAAAAAAACUGCAUUUUAUCACCAUAAAGAUAGGCUACAUUCAUGGGUGCAGCAGCAAUCCAACCUCUGUACAGCCUGAAAUCUUUCAUAAUGAACCCAACAUACAGUCAAGCGUUGAAUCCCAGCAUCCUUGCAAUUAUCACAUUAUGGGCUUUCUUUUUCCUUGUUAGCCUCCAUGGUCUAGUCAGUCACUAUUUAAACUUAAUAUGGGAGCGGACCCAUAUCUCUUUUUAUUUCAAAUCGAUUUUGCAUACUUUUCUGAAAACCUAAUCAAUAUACUGGGAAGGAAAAAACAAAAACCAAAAUACAAGUUUAUCUAACAAUAAACAUAUAGAUAUCAAAAAGAUUGUAUGAGGAAAAGAGUUUUCCGCUUUAUGCCUUGGUUGGGAGUUUGGGGAAGAAAAGAAAAGAAAAGAAAAUAUUAGCAAGGAGAGAAAGAAAAACAAAAGAAAGAAAGUAUUGGGAGUUUAAAGAAAGAAAAGAAAAUAAUUUCUUCCUUUCUUGAUUGGAAGCAAAGAAGAAAGGAAAAGAAAAAAAUAUUACAAUCUUCUUUUACUAUUACACCCUUGAAAAAAACCCAAUAAAUCCAAGAAAGGAACCGAGAAAAGAUCUUAUCUUUUAAUUUUUUUUCUAUCUUUCCUUUUGUUUACGUUGAUUUUUUCCAACUCAAUCGGAUGGGAGGCUUAGGUAGAAGGCUUGAAAUAAGCCUUAGGAUUGAAAUGUAAUAUUAAUUUUAUUCUUCAUUAGUAAAAGGGUAAGAUGAAAAUUAUAAAAGAUUCACUAACUCUUACAUAUUGUUUGGAUUGGGGGUACACAGGAGUUCAUAAAGGGAGGGGAAGGAAGGAUAAAGAAUGAAUCCCUAUUUGGCAAAAUUUUUUGAAGAUAAAGAAGGGUAGAGAAGGGUUUCCUCAACCCCUUCGUACCCCUCAAUUACUCAAUUUUCUAUACCCCCGAUUUGGGGUGUAACGGAGAGGAAGGUUCACGCUUAAUUUUUACUUUCCUAACUCAUCCUUAAUAAAAUUUUAAAAUUACAACUAGACUAUUAUAUACUCUAUCUUCCUAACCGCUCCUUUGCUCUUCGCACAACUCAGAACCCUAUAGUCGUCCCCUCAUCUACAACGGAACGGACAUUUCAGAAAGCUAAAAUCAUUCUCGAAUAGAUUCAUGUGAAAGCCAAAAAAAAAGAAUCAAAUAGAGCAGAUUUGAGAAGCAUAUUUAUCAAAAGGAACAUACAUUUGUCAAAAUAUCACAAACAUUAAAUAGUAUAUCAAUUAAUGAGAAAGAAUAUAUUUGUCAAAAUAUAUAUAAAUGUUCUUCUACUUCUCCUUUAACCCUUGUAUCCAAAUAAGGAUAAGGUAUGCACCUUUCUUUACUCUUCCCCUCCCUCUCCAAACAAGGAUUCAUUAAUUCCCUUACCCUCCCCUCUCUUCCCCUCCAUUACCCUCCCCUCCCCUUUUGAACUCUCAUGUACCCCAAUCCAAAUAAAGCAUUAAUUCCUUUCUCUCCAAUGCGCUCGAUUUGAAGGAGAAAAAAAAAUUGCAGAUUUGAGGGGAUUUGUAUUCCCUAUGUUUCUCUCCUUUUCUUUCCCUUUCUUUUAUAAAAAAACUUCCAACCAAGAGAAAAUAUUAACCUUCUCUCCCAUCUUUUCUUUUCUCUCCUAUUCUUCUCUCCCAACCAAGGCAAGGGUUCUACUCCAACUUAAUCGUUCUGCCUUGUUAUGCCCGACCAUAGCUUUAUGAAUGUACACAUUGGUUCAGUAUAGUAAUCAAAUCUUUAAUAAACAAAACUGUAUACAAAGCUCCAAUUUUUCCAACAGGAAUCUCAACAGAAAAACAGUGUCCCAAGCUCUGAUUCCAAGUAUGGAAUACUCAUAUGUCCUUAUUGAUCAAAAAUAAAAUGCCAAAGUUUCCAUUUUCACAACAUAGAGUUCCAAGAACCACUAAUUAAAGCCCGAGUUCCAGGUAACAACGAGUUACCAUAAUGAUCAUAACAAAAUACCAAAUUUCUUAUUCUUUUUUUCGAUAGAAGUACCAAAAAAAUCAGUUUAAAGCAUGUGAAUGCUUGUGAAAUCUCCCAAGAAUAGUACCGGUUUCAAGAUUUACUUACAUUAAGGAUGCGGGAGAUGCCGAGGGUCUUGAGGAGCUCCCCCCUGGACGCGUUGUCAUAGCUUCCUAGAUAGAGGAGAUCUUUGAGGAUCUCUGAGGGGAAGGCGCUGUCCUGUUGCACCGAGCGCUCCUGCGCCGCCGGCAUCCGAUGGCCGCACACUCCACAGACCUCCCCCUCCUCAUACUUGUGGUAGUGGCCGCAGACGCCACAUGGAUUCUCCCUCUCCCUCUUCCUCAUCGCGCGCAAACAGCACCGAAAUCCCUCGAAUUCUCCCAAAAAAAAAAAAGACGCAACCGAGAUCAAACCGGGGAAAAUCAAGCUACGCGAACGACACCAAGGAUCGGGAAAGGCGAUUUCGAGAUCAAGAAACGGGAGGAGAGGAUCGAAUCGAGGGUCUGGUCGUGCAGUUCAGGAAAGAAUGAAGAGGAACCUAAAGAAGCGUAGGAGGGCACUCGAGCUGAUCGGACAAAAAUCCUCUAGCGAGGUCAAUACAGAGGGUGACAUCUGGGGCGGGCCUCUUGACGUGCCACGUACACAUCUCACCAAUCUCAACAUACAUAAAAAAUAAAUUGAAAAUUACACAACGGACCCCGUUAACGGAGACUGGAAGGAUUUAGUGCUGUCCUUCGCAUCAAGGCGGUGGAUGGGAGAGAGAGCCAGACAAUUGGGUUUCGUCGAAGGGAGGAGACCCGUGAAAGAAGUCAGUUAUGAGUGAGAAACAGCGGUAUGGGUGAGAAGGGGAAAGCUGUAACCAGGGUUCGAAAAUCUUGAUCGAAGAAAAAAAAGAGAGCACAAAAUUAGAAAAAAAAUAAUUUUUCAUCUUCAACAGCGGUGGCUAUAUUAGAUCAGUCGUCUUCGAUGGCAGAGAGAAGCAAGACUACAGAUCGAGAUAGAAUUUUUCUAACUGGUACCUCGGCUAGGGGAGAAGAUGCAGUGGAGGUUGGAAGAUCCUGCGCACAGAUUAUCCAAAGAUCUAGGUACUUUCGAUGGAAAACCUCCCGAGCUUCGACGGAAGAUAUCGUCAUGCUAGAAGAGAGAUUCAGCCGGGUGGUUGUGUUCUCGGAGGAGAAAAGCAAUUUAGCUGUCUCACAGUUGAAAAUGGCUCUGCUGGGUAGGUUUCUUGGAAAAGAUUUUUUAGUAGACUUUGUGCAAAAGGAGUUUAAACUCUGAUGGAAUGUGGAGGGCAAUUUUCAGAUUUCAUCUAUUUUUGAGGGUGUCCUCAUGUUUAGACUACCUUCAAAGGAGAUAAAGCAAAGGGUGUUGGAGAAAGGGCCUUGGUUCUUGGCAGGGCAGCUACUUGCUCUGAAGGACUGACGGCCGAACUUUAAACCCAAUCAUGAUUCUAUCAAACAAACUAGGGUUUGGGUCCGAUUGCUAGAAUUAUCAAUUGAAUUAUGGGAUAAGGAGAAGAUACUGAGAAUUGUAUCAGUGGCAGGUAAACCCUUAUUCCUUGAUGAAUGUACAGAGGCAUCCUCACGUAUGGGGUUUCCUAAAAUUUGUUUGCUUAUUCUGCUGAUCAGCCGAUCUGCUUGAGAAUGAAGGUCAAGGUAAAGGAUGCUACUAUCUAGCAGGAGUUUAUGUAUGAAGAUUUAUCAAAGAUAUAUUAUACCUGUGGCCGGAUAGUUACAGUAGUAGCGGAUUAUGGCUGUUCACGGCUGCCAGAGAGCAUAGAAUUAAGCAAGUGUAUGGGCCAUGGAUUAGGGCGACCAGGAUACCAGUUGCUACCCCAAACAACAAUAAUGUGAGGCCAAACCCUAACUUGGCUAAUUAGGGGGGAUUCUCUGUGGCUCCUUGGAUGCAACCUAAAAAACAAGCAAAGAAGGCUUCGCCAACCAAAACUAAACCCCCAGAGCAGGAACUUGAUAAGGGACAAGGAUUGAGAUUUGCCCCUUUAAUGGGAGAACUUGAUGAACCUAUGGUCCAGCCAAUGGAUAUAAGUUCCUCCUCAUCUGCUCAGGGUGAUACUUCAGGGAUGGGUUCACUAAAAGAGAAAAGAAAGUGUUUACAUAAGAAAUCUGUAUCCAAGAGUGGUUCUCUAGGCUCUAAAUCUCGACCGACAUCUAAAGUGAUUGUGCGGGAGGAGGCAUCAACUGAUAUAGAGAUAUCUAAACAAAUAGUGUUAUAUUCUCCAGUAAAUAAUGCCAAGAAGUCUCAUGGGGUAAAGGAAGUUUAGAGGCCAACUGGGGGAAGAAUUAUUGAGCAAACCAGAGAAUUGAAGGCAAAGAUACGGUAUUCUAAGGCUCAAGAUGGGAGUACAAAUGACGGCAAGGCCAACCCAUCUACAAGUACAGAAUCAGGUAACCACUAUACUUAUAUCCAAAAAUUGAAGUCCGUUGUAGAAGGGGAUAAGUGUUGUAUGAGUCACUCAUCAUCUCAGUCUAGUCAGAGUGGUUUGGAUGUUGAAUGGGGUCCGUUUGGAUCUCAAGGUCCAUGUAGAUAUUUCUUUGGGGAUGUCGGGGGAUAGGCUUCCUCCUUUCCUUAUUCAUCAUAAGGAUUCUUACCUGAAACUGUCAGGGUGCUGCCAAAUCCUCAUUUGUCAAUUAUUCCAGAACUUUAGUGAGGCAGCAUAACCUAGAUAUUUGUGAUUUUCUUGAGACAAAACUAUCUGCAAGUAUAAUUAUUGGAAUUCAAAGACUAAUGAGUCCUGCUUGGGGCGUUUAUCUUCUUUCUGCUAGAGAUUUGUCUGGUGAAAUUGUAGUAACUUGGUGGGGUAGGGUAGGAGAAAUUGACUUCUAUCAUAUGAACGGACAGAUUAUUUUUGGUGUUAUUUCUGCCGAUUCUAAUCCUACCUGACUAAUGGUUGUGGUCUAUGCAAGUACUUGUGCUGUAGAGCGCACUCUACUGUGUGAACAGAUUAGCUUAGCAAAUUCUCUUCAUCUGCCAACCCUAAUCAUUGGAGAUUUUAAUUGUAUUCUGAAGGCUGAAGAUAAGAAAGACAGUAGACCUUUUAAGAUGGAUCAGUCGAUUCGGGAGUUUAGAAGAUUUUUUGAGCAAACUGAAUUUGUUGAUUUGGGUUAUCAAGGAUCGGCUUAUACUUAGUGCAACAAUCAACUGGGAGCCGCACGAGUUUGGGAGAGAUUGGAUAUAACCUUUGCCUCGGAGAGCUGAAUUGAUUUGUUUUUCGAAUCUCGAUUGUUACAUUUAACAAGAUUUGCCUCUAAUCGUUGCUCUUUGCUCCUAAAUAUUUCUGAAAGCAGGAAGAAUAGAAAGGCACCUUUUAGAUUUGAAAAAAUGUGGAUGUAUUGUGAUAGUAUCCAGCAAGCUAUAACUGCGGCUUGGAGGUGCGAAGGAAAUUACUCUUUUGGAGAUAAACUUAUUAAGUUACUACACAAUACUAAGGUUGCCAUUAGGCGGUGGAAAAAAUCCAUAAAAAAUAUUUUUACUACUACUAAAAGACUGAAUGAUCAAAUCUAUAAUCUGCAAAUAAAGGAGGCUCUUAAUGGGGGUUUAUCUUGGUCUGAGCAUCAACAAUUGUUAUAUUUACUGCAGCAAUAUAAUGCUAACUUACAUAAGCAAGAGGUCAUUUGGAGGCAAAAAGCAAAGAUUAGUUGGAUCAAAGAAAGAGAUGCAAAUACUAAGUUCUUCCACUGCUCUACAAUAUUGUGAAGAAGAAAAAAAUCAAAUUUCGAGUAUUGUGGAUGAUAGGGAUGUUUUGACUGUGGAAGAGGGAGUUAUUAGUCUGGUGCUUUUGAACCACUUUCAACUCCGAUGGCAGGCUCAAGCUGGAGUAGAUGAGGCGGUAUUACCUAUGGGCUUACCUUCAUUGUCUCAUGUUCAAAAUCAACACAUGACAAAGGAGGUCACAGAAGAAGAGAUAGUUAAAGCUAUUCGAGAAAUGAACUCUAAUAAAGCUCCAGGGUCAAAUGGUUUUCAAGCUUUCUUCUAUCAAAAAUUCUAGCAUAUAGUCAACUAAGAGGUUAUUGAUGCUAUUAAAUUCAUUUUUGCUUAUGCUCAAAUGCCAACCAGCUGGAAAAAGACUUUCAUAGUCUUGGUGCCAAAAAAAAAAAAUCCUUCUAGUGUUAAUGACUAUUGCCCCAUUAGCCAUUGUAACAUGAUUUAUAAAAUUGUGACAAAAAUUACUCCCAAGCUUGGUGUCUAUAGAACAAGGGGCAUUUGUUCCAGGUAGGAGAAUGGUUGAGAACAUUUUGUUAGGACAAGAGCUCAUUCAAUCAAUAUGGAAGGCUCUAUAAAAUCAUAGCUUGAUGACUCUCAAAAUUGAUAUGAAAAAGGCAUAUGAUAGAAUUCAUUGAUCCUUCUUAAUUAGAGUUCUAUAGAAUUUUGGCUUUCAUCCUAGAAUAAUUGAUUGGAUCUAGAUUUAUAUGUCUGAAGCUCAAUUUGCUCUCUUGAUUAAUGGUAAUCCAAUGAAUGGUUCACCACUUUGAGAGGAUUAUGACAAGUGUGUCCAUUAUCUCCAUAUUUGUUUAUUUUCAGCUCUGAGGUUCUUUCCAUCCUUUUAAAGGUUGCUGUUCACGCUUAGCUUCUGCAAAUUUUAAACCUCAGUGUGAUGGACCAUCUUUCUCACAUAUCUUUUAUGUGGAUAACAUACUCCUAAUUGCUAGGGCUACUGUAAAAGAUAGUCUAUGCCUUAAAGCUAUUUUGGAAGCUUAUUGCAAUAUUUCUGGCCAAGCAAUUAAUCUCCAAAAAUCUAACAUCACUUUUAGUUCAUCUAGAAGACUGAAGCAUACCAUUCGAGCUAUAUUUCAAAUAUCGGAGAAAAGAGGAACCUGAAAAUAUUUGGGUGUCCCUAUUGCUACCACUAGGCUAAUUGCCUCUGAUUUCACUUUUAUCCUAGAGGCUUUGAUGGCUAAGAUGGAAAGCUGGAAAUGGAGAACCCUGUCUUUUGCUGGGAGGUUAACUUUAUUACAAUCUGUGCUCUUUUCUACCCCCACACAUUGCCUAUCUUUGGUUAAUGUCUCAAAUUUUUUGCUAACAAAUAUUGAGAAAGAGUUUCGAACUUUUUUGUGGGGUCACCCAAUGGAUAGCAAGGGUAUACAUAUCAUGUCUUCGGAUCAUAUCUGUGCUCCAAAGGACCAGGAAGGCUUAGGAUUGGUCUCUUUAAGAAUGAGAAAACAAGCUUUAAUUGCCAAAUUAGCUGCCAAGUUGGUUCUCUCUCCUCAUACUAUGUGGGCUCAGGUUGUAAGUGCCAAAUAUAACUUUAAAGGGAGUUGGCAUUCUUGUAAUAAGCUAGCAAAAUGUUCUGAUAUUUGGGCUAAAAUUGCUGCAUAUGGAAAUCAUAUCCAAUUUCAGUUCAUCUAUAAUUUGGGUUCUGGUUAGAGCAUUGAUGUAAUGCAUGACCCCUGGAUUACUCUAACUCCACUGGAAUAUUGGCCAACUUAUAUAAAUAUGGAUGCUGAUCUUACCAGUAUGAAAGUGAAUCAAUUGUUGUCUCCUACUCAUAUAUGAAAUGCCGACACUCUUGCAACCAUAUUUUCUGAUGAUUUGAUAAAAUUAAUUAAUAAAGUGCCUGUGGCUCAUGGGCUAUGGCCAGAUUCUAUUGCUUGGAAGACUAGAGCCAACCAUGUUACCUUGAAAGAUAUUUUGCAGACAAUGCAUGACACAGUGACCACUGCUACAGAUAGAUCCUUUUACUGGAUAUGGAAGUUACAGAUCCCUAUGAGAGUUAAAACUUUCUUAUGGAAGUUGGUGUGGAGACGGAUCUCUUGCAAGGAAUUAUUAUAUAAGAGGCAUAUAAUUCCUACGAAUAUACAAUACUGUGACCUUUGUCUAACUGAGAUUGAGGACUGCCACCAUAUUAUGGUUGGAUGCUCAUUUGCAAAGCAGUGCUGGGAAUAUAUAGAAGCUGUGUCAUUUUGUGAUCAGGCCUUCUUCUUUGAUUGAUUUAGAAAAUACUUUGGCUACUUCUGUGGUUGAUAAUAAUGUUAAAAAUUGUAUUGCAUAUGUUAUUUGGUAACACUGGACUACUCAAAAUGAAAGGGUUUUUCAGAAUGUAAAUCAUACUCCUGCUCAUGAGGCUCAUAAGGCAUUGGCUCUUCUAUCCUAUUUAGGGCUCCUAACAUUUUCUAUGCAGGUUGGGGAACAGUCAUGGCAUUGGGAAGCUAGUAUGUCAUCUAAUUUUCAUGCAUCCACAACUAAGCAAGUGGGUUGGCUUCCUCCUACCAUGGUUUUCUUAAACUCAAUUUUGACGCCUCUGUUCAAGCUGAAGCUGGAGGCAGACAGCUGCCGCCCUCAUCGAUCCCCUUUGCUGAAUUGACAACUGUUUGGCUUGGGAUAAAGGUAGCAGUGCUUGAUUUAAAUGCUGUUAAUGAUGAAAAACUGUAGGCGGUUUAGUACAUGCAUUUCAAAAUUUUUUCGAAAUAUAACAUAGCAAAACACUCUAGAUUAAUUAAAUUAAUCUAGUAUGUAUUAGAUCUAAUCUAAAAUAGCCUAUGCUAGGAUCAAUGAUAUGACAUAAUAUGCAUACAAAAUUAGAAAGCAAAAAUCAUAGAUCUAAUUGAUAUGAUCAUUGAGUUCUGAACCAAAUAUUUGAGCGUGAGUCGAAGAUCACCAUAGUUGAUUAUAGUGGAUCUGAGGUUCUUCUAGUUGCAUGAUAGUCACAUAGAUUGUCUGGCCUCUGCAGGAUGUCUACAUAAAAUUUCAAACUGAUCGAUCUCUCGGAAGUGUUAGCUCACAUAGAAAUCCUCUUGAUGGCUGAUCUAUGCCCCUCUUCAAAUCUUACAAACUCUUUCGAAGCUGAAGAUGGAUUUAAGAGGAUGAAGUGGUGGAAAAAUGUGAAGAUGAGAUACGCUCUCUUCUCACUUUUUUCUCUUCCCGAAGCCCAAGAAUAGGAUCCUAGGGACCCACUCAAAAGACUCAUGCCCAAGAAGAAAUAAUUUUCCUCUAUUUCAUGCAUAGAAGAUCCACACCCACUCUCUAUUACACACCCCACUCAGAAGUAUUUUAAUGAUAAUCCUUAUUUAUUUUGUCGCACAAAAUGGGAUGGGAUAUAUGGUGGGCGACAAGAUGUGGAUUAAGAUAAAGAUGAAGAUUAGUUUUAAUUCAAAUUCAAAAUCCUUUUGAAUUUAAACUCAGCCAAUCUUAUCCUUAUCCAAGAGAGGGCGACAUGAGCAUGAAGGCAUGGAGUUUUUCUCACACAAAUUUUGAAUUUGUGUGGAGAGGAGAAGGGCGUGGGAUGAGGUGGCGCAAGGGGUUUUAAAAUUCAAACUCAUUUGAAUUUGAUUCAACCCAAUUUGGUCAUAAACCAAAUCAAAUUAGGUUAGACCCAAUUAGAUGACUGAAUCUAAUCUAAUUAGGUACCAAAUGAACUUGAUUAAAUCCUAAUCCAAUCAUAAAUUAAUCGAGCUCAAGUCCUGAUUAAAUCAGGAAUCAAUCUUCCUUAGCAAUUAGAUCAUCUUAUAACUUAAUUGGGUUAAACCUAAUCAAAUUCAAUUCAAUUAGAUUUGAUUUGAAUCUUAUUACUUAAUCAAAUUGAGCUAAUCAGUAUUCUAAUUACUAAUUAAUCUUUCUAUAAUUUACUAACUAUUAGUAAAUUAAUCUUUCGCAAUCUUUGCAUAAUGUUAAUCAUCAAUCAUAUUGAUGAUUAUACCCUUGAACGAUUCUCAAUCGUUGAUCAAUCAUCUGAUCAGACAGAAAUUUUUAUUGUGUGUGAUCUCAUAGAUUCAAAUCUAAAUCGUUAGCACAAAAAUAAAUAUCUGCACUAAUCGAAAUGAUUAUCUAGCAAUAAUAUCCGACGUCCGGAUAGACUGAAUGGUUGCAAAGCAACAUUCAAAAAUUUUUGGCAUAUGGUUACCGUAUAAUUCAUUCUUUUGACCCUCAAUGCUCAGGAUGACUUUAGAGUUAAACUGUUAACUCUUGAUUAAUAUAUCCGAUUUGUGUCUCAAUCUUAUAAAUUCUGUAACUCCUCACAAAGAUUAUCCUAGCCAAGAUUUUACUAAAUGAAAUACAAUGUAGCAUUAUCUCCUGAAAUCAGAAGUGGUCAAUCCCAUCUUGACUCACACAUAGACUUUGCAAGUACUUGAUUGUGUCUAAAAAUUUUUUGUUACUGAAUUAGAAAUUCAGAUAGUCCGGUACUAAAGCAUAGUGAGUUGCUUACAAGUCAUCGUGGUGAUCUCAGAUCGGAGGGAUACUUAUACCCAUAUCCUUCAUGAGCAGCUCUUGACAGCAGAGCGCUCCACAGUUUGAUCACAUUCAAUACAAAUAUACUCCUAUAAUUUAUCUGUAUACCAUACCAAUAUCUCUACAUUCAUUGAUUAUGAGGACAACUAACUCGUAUGACACACAACAAUCUAUACUUAGUAAAUGUUAUCGUCCUAGUAAUAAUGUAUCAUUUAAUCGCGAACAAAUUUAAUAACUGCACGAUAAAUCCUUCUUUAUCGAUUGAAAGUAAUUCUAAAGACUUCAUCAUAACAUAAGAGUUCAAUAAGAAGAUGUAAAUAUUUAUGAUGAAAUUAUCAAAUAAUUUUUAUUAAUUUAUAAUUCAUAUAUAAUUUAUAAAGAGUACAAUCAUUUAUAGAUAGACGAUUGACUUUAGGUUAUAUUUUCCAACAGUUAGGCUUUGGGUGGAAGGAGAUUCAAGCACAGUUAUUACUUGGUUAUCUAAUAAUUUUGCACAAGCUCGAAGCUCCUACCCUAUGAUCAAUGACUUGAGGGUAUGGAUGGACCAAAUAUAGGUUUUUAAAGCUACUCAUAUUUACAGGGGAGGUAAUGUGGCUGCUGAUUUUUUGGCUAACCGGGCUAGGCAAAUGGAUUUUAUAAUCCAUGCCCAUGACCCUGUGUGCUCUGAAUUGGCUGGUAUUCUUAUUGCAGAUGCAUGCGGAAUUUGUUUUGAAUGAUGAUGAGGUUUCAUGAUCUUCUGAUCAUCUGUAUGGAAAUGAAUGCUGUGUGUUCUCCUUGUCUCUUAUUUCUUCCACCGUAUCUCAUCUACUUUAACUAGUUGACGGCAAGAAAGAAUCAGAAGUUAAGAACCCAAUAUGCCUCGGAGUUCUUACUUUUGUGUACUUUGCUCCAUUGUUUAUUGUAUCCUAUUUAUUAGGAGUGUUGGCUCAAUGUUAUAGCUAAAGACCAGGGGUGCAAUUGGCCUAUUUCUUCAACUCAGCAUUGGGACUGGGCCACACUUACCUAGCAAUGGGAUGCUGUCUUGAAGUCUGAAAGUAUUCUUAGUGGCUUUUCUUUUGGAGGGCUCUAUUAUAUUAAACACUAUAGGGUCUGCUUGCUCAUCAGUACUAUUAUUACUAUGUUUCACUCUUUUAAUAGCUCGUAUAUUUGCCAUGGGUAUUUUGUUGGUAUAUUGAAGAUCAUUUUCCUCCUUCAUUCUAUGUUACUAACCUACUUAAAAUUGUUGUAUUGGAAGCUAUUUGAGCUAGAAAAUGGCUGUUCUGCUGCAAUUACUCUAAAAAAUAGUAUAAAUGCUGCUGUCACUAGAACUUAUUUAUGGAUAUCAAUUAUGAUCUAAAGAUAAUAUUGGCCAUUCAGAACUACUCAAUAUUUUUAUGCAUGGGUUUACAUUUAUUCUUCACCAUUAGAUGCAGAAAAUGACAGGACAAUAUUAUGAGCUGCCGAUUCUAUUUCACAUAUCCUCAAAAGCUUGCAUCAAGUCUGGUGUCAUGAGCUUGUUCUGAUCAUUGGCUUUCUAGACGCUUUUCAGCUACAUGCUCUUAUUUCAAGCAAUAUAGUUUCAUGGGCUCUUUGUCUCACUAUUGCUCCUAUUUUCUAAUAUGCUCUGAUGACGUUUGUCCUGUUGAUGAUUGUUUGCAUCAUAUAUACUCCAGCAGAUUGUCAAUUUCAAGCAAUAUGGCCAUCCUGAUGGAUGUGAUUUCUAUGAAGAGCUUGAGACUAUUGAAUUUCCUAUUUUAUGUAUUUUGCCACUCUUUCUUAUAUGUAUUCUGAGUGGGAGCUAUUCUACAUGCUGUAUGUAACUUUGAAACUUUUAUUUUAUAUUAUCUAUUAAUCUAGUAGAUUCCUUUUCUACCAAAAAAAAAAAGAAGGAGACCCAUGGUCCGUGUCCCAAUUGGCAACCGACUUAAUGGCGAUGUGUACACACCCAUUAUAUUACCAAUGGAUAUCUUAAAUUUUAUUGAUGCGUAUCUUAAAUUAAGGUAGUAAUUAUUUUCCUAAUAUGUGGUACAUGGCCAACUAAUAUACAUUGAACUUUAUCAGAGAGUUGAUUAAUAUCCAAUAAUUGAUAAAUACAUAUUUAUUAUUUUAUUAAUUUAUAUCUUAUACUUUCUCUAUAAAUAUCCCAAGCUGAGAUAAUAUAUACUCAAUAUUAUUAUUUUUUAAAUUCAUGAUAUAUGUCCAAGUAAUAUUCACCUAAAUCUCCUUAAUUAUUCAUUAAUACUUGCUUGAUUUUGUGUUGCUUCUCAAGAUCUCUGGUGAUAAACUCAACCUAUUGUUCAUAGUAUCAUCUUGACAUGACAAAGAUAGUGAUGCUAAGAAAGACUUCGAUUUCAAGUAGAUCUAAGGUCUUGAGGUUUGAUUAGAAGAGAAGAGUGACAAGGAAGAGAGGAAGCCGAUGAAGAGUUGCAAUAAUUGGUUAUGAUGGAGGUCUUUAUAUGGUCAAAGGUACACUUGUUCAUUGGAGAAGAGAGAAAAGUAGAAAUGAGAGAGAGAGAGAGAGGAGG
rnacentral:lncRNA from 1 species